rnacentral:lncRNA from 1 species
AACACCCAUUUCUAUUGCUCAUUAUAGAAUGGAUCCAAUGGAAUUGAGAGAAUUAAAAGUUCAGUUGUAGGAACUAAUAGAGAAAGGCUUUACAAGACCUAGUUGUUCACCAUGGGGUGCACCAGUGCUAUUUGUGAAAAAGAAAGAUGGUUCGAUGAGAUUGUAUAUAGAUUAUCGGUAGUUUAACAAGGUGACUAUUAAGACCAAGUAUCCACUGCCUAGAAUUGACUAUUUGUUUGAUUAAUUGAAGGGAGCUACUAUGUUCUCCAAGAUAGAUUUGAGAUCCGGAUAUUAUUAGUUGCGAUUUAAAGAGUCAGAUGUUCCGAAGACUGCUUUCCGGACUAGGUAUGGCCAUUAUGAGUUCCUUGUGAUGCCAUUUGGCUUGACUAAUGCUCCUGCCAUUUUCAUGGACUUAAUGAAUCAAAUUUUCAAACCUUACUUGGAUAAAUUUGUAGUUGUGUUCAUUGAUGAUAUAUUGAUUUAUUCUCAUGAUAAGACUGAGCAUUCAGAGCAUUUGAGAACAAUUUUACAGACUUUGAGAGAUAAUCAGCUUUAUGCCAAGUUUAGCAAAAGUGAGUUCUGGUUACGGGAAAUUGGUUUUCUUGGACAUAUAUUCUCAAGUGAAGGUAUUUGAGUUGAUUUGAGCAAGAUUUCAUCCAUUGUUGAUUGGAAGCCUCCCAGGAAUGUAUUAGAGGUCAGAAGUUUUCUUGGUCUCGCCGGCUAUUAUAGACGAUUUAUAGAGGGAUUUUCCAUGAUAGCUACUCCAUUGACAAAAUUGCUACAGAAAGAUGUCAAGUAAAGGUGUCAGCAGAGUUUUGACAAGUUAAAGGCAUUGUUGACUGAAGCUCCUGUCUUAUUACAACCAGAACUGGGUAAAGAGUUAGUGAUUUUUAGUGAUGCGUCAUUGAAUGGACUAGGCUGUGUAAUUAUGCAGGAAGGAAAGGUAAUUGCUUAUGCCUCUAGACAACUAAAGCCACAUGAGAAAAAUUAUCCGAUACAUGGUUUAGAACUAGCUGCCAUUGUAUUUGCGCUGAAAAUCUGGAGACAUCACUUGUAUGGUGGGAAGUACCGUAUAUUUACUGAUCAUAAAAGUUUGAAAUACUUGAUGAGUCAGAAAGAUUUGAACUUGAGGAAUAGAAGAUGGCUAGAGUUCAUUAAAGAUUAUGAACUAGUGAUCGAUUAUCACCUGUGUAAGGCAAACGUAGUUGCUGGUGCUUUGAGUAGAAAUUCUUUAUUUGCAUUAAGAGCUUUGAACACUAGUUUAACCUUAUCGAAUGAUGGUUCUAUCUUAGCCGAAUUAAGAGCUAAGCCAAUGUUUUUUGAAGAAAUUUGUGAAGUUUAGAAAUAUGACAGUGAGUUGCAAGCCAAAAGAGCUCAGUGUGAGUCGGGUAUAGAGUCAGAUUUUCAGAUCAGUUCUGAUGGUUGUUUAAUGUUCAGAAAUCGGAUAUGUGUACCAAAGAAUGAUGAGCUUAUUCAAAAGAUUUUAGAGAAAGCACAUAGUAGUUCUUUGUCUAUUCAUCCAGGUAGUACAAAGUUGUAUAAUAAUUUGAAGAAAAUAUAUUGGUGGGUAGGAAUGAAGAGAGAUAUUUCAAAUUUUAUUUCCAGAUGCUUGAUCUAUCAGCAGGUAAAAUUCGAACAUCAGGUACCUUCAGGUUUAUUGCAGCCUGUGUUAGUUCCUGAGUGGAAAUGAGAUCGAGUUGCCAUGCAUUUUGUGAUAGGAUUACCUUUAACACCGAGAAAGAAAGAUGCAUUAUGGGUUGUGAUUGAUAAGCUAACGAAGUCGACUCAUUUUAUUCUAAUUCGUAUGGAUUAUUCACUUGACAAGUUGGUUGAGUUAUACAUUUCAGAUAUAGUCAGACUAUAUGGAGUACGGUUAUUGAUUAUUUCAGAUAGAGACCUGAGAUUCAUUUCGCGGUUUUGGAAGAAGUUACAGGAAGCUUUGGGAAAAAAGUUGAGUUUUAGUACAGUCUUCCAUCCUCAGACCAAUGAUCAGUCAGAGAGAGUUAUUCAAAUACUUGAGGAUAUGCUCAGAUGUUGUGUCUUAGAAUUUCAAGGUAGUUGGGAGAAAUAUUUGCCGUCAAUAGAGUUUUCUUAUAAUAAUAGUUACAAGUCGAGUUUGAAAAUGUCACCUUAUGAAGCUUUGUAUGGACGUAAAUGUCGUACACCUUUGUAUUGGACAGAGCUUAAAUAAAAUCAGAUUUACGAGGUUGAUUUAGUUAAAGAAACUAAAGAGAAAGUGAAAGUUAUCAAAGAUUGCUUGAAAGCAGCUUCAGAUAGAUAGAAGUCUUAUGCAGACUUGAAAAGAAAAGAGAUUGAGUAUCAAGUUGGUGACAAAGUGUUCUUGAAAGUAUCCCCGUGGAAGAAAGUCUUUAGAUUUGGCAAGAAAGGCAAACUAAGUCCAUGUUUUAAUGGAUCGUUUGAGGUGAUUGAAAAAGUUGGACCAUUAGCAUAUCGGUUAGCUUUGCCGCCAGAGUUAGAGAAGAUUCAUGAUGUGUUUCAUGUGUCCAUGUUAUGUCGUUACCGUUCUGAUCCUUCACAUGUGAUUUCACAGACAGAGGUUGAGAUUUAGCAAGAUAUGACUUAUGGUGAAGAACCAGUAAAGAUUUUAGCUCGAGAUGUCAAGCAACUAAGGAACAAAAGGAUUGCACUUGUGAAAGUAUUAUGGAAUAAACAUGGGGUAGACGAGGCUACAUGGGAGCCUAAAGAGGUUAUGCCCUGAAGAGGUUAUGCGAAAACAGUAUCCAAAUCUUUUCACAGGUAAGAUUUUCGAGGACGAAAAUCCCUAAAGGGGGGAGAAAUGUAACAUCCCAAAAUAGGGCCUAAAUGGAACAGUGGUUGCGAAACAGCGAAUCUGAGAUAGAAAAGUUUAUUCCGAUUAAUUUUUAUAAUUUACCGAGUGAUUAGAUGCAUGUGUUAGAGUAUCGAUGGGAAAUUUUAUAGAUAGCAUGCUUAAUUUGCCUACUAGGAUAAAUAUGAGUUUUAGAUGCUAAAGGAUUUAAUUGAAGAGUAUAAUUGAAGUAGAGGUCCUUAAAUGGUAAUUAGACCAUUAGGUUUUCAUAGACAAAAAUGGACAUAUAUAGAUAAAAAUAACUAAAGUUUUAAUGAAGGGUAUUUUAGUCAUUUGGUAAUUAAAAGAUUAAAAAAGGGAAAAAGAUGGAAAAAUGUGCCCAUAUUCUUCAUUAGGCUGAAAUUUCAAGGUUUCUUCAUAGCUAGGGUUUUUUCAAGCUUUCAACCUUCAUAGUAAGUGAUUCUAAGCCCCGUUUUUAAUGUUCUUUACGCUUUUGAAGUCCCGGUAACUUGAUUUAGCUUAUUCUAGCAAUAAUUUAACCUAGGGUUCAUAUUUGGAAAAAUAACCAUAGGUGAAAUGUGUUUAUUUUGAUGUUUUAUGGAAGCUUGAAAUUAUGUUAAACGACUUGAGCUAAGCGAAUUUAAGCGAAAACGAGCAAAACGACAUAAUCGGUAAAAAUACCUAAUGGUCAUAAGUACAUGUUAGAGUGGGAAUUUGAUGUUUCCGUAGGUAAAUAAAUGAUCAGCAUGUCAUAAAACAUAAGAAUUAGGGAUAAAGUUUCAUUUCCGAGCCUUGGGGAAAAAGUGUAAAUAUGCAAAAGUUUAGGGGUAAAAUCGUAAUUUUUCUAAAGUUAGAGUUAAGGACUAUUUUGAUAAAUGUAAAUAUUAAAUAAGUUAAAUUUUCUAUUAUAGAUCAAGAAGAAUGAAAUUCGAGGUUAGAUUGAGGAAAGAAAAAGGUUGAGGACUAAAUCAAAAUAUUUGAUCAUAUUUUGUAUCGAGGUAAGUUGCAGUAAAUAAAUGCAAUGUUUUAUUAUUUAUAAUUAAUGAUGUUAUUUUUCAGCAUGUAUAUAUUUAUUUUUUAAAUUUAUUCCUUGAUGAUUCAAGUAAGAAUUGACAGAGAAAUGAUACUUAAAAGUUCCGGUUGAACCUUAGGAAUGAGUAGGAUACAAAUGUCAUGACAUUAGGGUUUAAGGAUAUCAAGUAAGACCAUGCCAAGGCAUGGAAUUGGUAAGUUUUACAAGGCAAGGAAAUCAUGUAAGACCAUGUUAAGACAUGGCAUUGAUAAAUUACUAUAAGGCAAAGAUCCCAUGUAAGACCAUGCCAAGGCAUGGCAAUGGUGAGUUCAUAAGGCAAGGAUACCACGUAAGACCAUGUCAAGACAUGGCAAUGGUAAGUUUAAAAAGGAAAGGUACCCGUGUAUCCUUAGUAUUCCAAAUGGUUCAACUAAAAAUUCAAAGAGUGUACCAAAGGGAAGGUAAGAUAAGUCCAUGUUCGAAAGCUUCAGGUUAUCUUGAUAAUUCAUUUAGAAUGUUGUUAUUUAUUUACAUGCAAACUUACUAAGAUUUAUGCUUACUCCCUUUAUUUUCUCUCUUAUUUAUAGUAAUACAAAGCCAACUCAAAAAAUCGUAAGGACGUCGGAGAUCGCCUCACACUAUCAAUAAGUUAUCUCGGUAUUUUGUGACUAGAAAUACGUUAAGUUAUGACAUGUAUAAGGACUUGGCUAUUUUGUGUGUAUGUCCUUAUGAUAUGAUUAAAGAAUGGCAUGUGAAUACUUGGUAAUGAUUAGCUUAUGAUAUAGCUAAUUAAGAACAUCUUUUGGUAUUAUGUAUGCCUAAAUGAUGUUUGAUGCAGAGAAACUAUGAAAGAGUAAGAGUUGGCCAUGGAACAGUUAGGAAAUAGCAGCAGUGGCGUGGUUUUGAAAAAUCACUAAACAUUUUAGAAAUGGAAUUAAAUGGUGAAUGAUAUAUAAAAUUAAAUCUUAUUGAGUCUAUUUUUAUAGGAAAGAAAUAGAGCAAGCAAAGGAAGUCUAUAUUUUGAGAUAUUUAAAUUUCUAUAAGACUGGGUCAGAAUGACUUCGUGAUCCCCUAUUCGAACUUUGGAAAAUCACUAGAAAUUGUAAAAAAAUAAUUAUAAGUCAUAGUUUAUAUUUUUAGAUUUCUUAGUGAGUCUAUUUUCAUUAGAAACAAAUAGAAAUGUUCUCUGAUUUCUGUAUAAUGAGAUCAUAAAUUUUUAGUGAAGAGAGGUCAGGUCCGCUGAACUGCGAAAUAGGGGAACAUUUAAUGAAUAAACUGUACUAAUUGGCCAAACCAAAAAUUCUGGAAAAAUUAUGAUAAGAAGGAAUAUGAGUCUAGUUUUAGGAAAAUUUUACGUAUUUAAAUUUUAAGUUUUGUAACUCGAGUUAUAAUUAAUUUAGUGACUAUUACGUAGAUGGACAGUUUUAUUAUGAAUAGUGAAAUAAAUUGUUUUGAUUAGUAUAAGUAAUCGGAAAAUUUUUAAUGUUCCUGGUUUUGUCCCGAACCGUUCCAAUUGCACGUUUUAGGGUCUCGAGGGCACUUUUUAGGGAUUUAUUAGAUGAAUGUGAGCAAAUUAAAAUUUUUUUAAAAGUAAAUUUUUUUAUGCCCCGAACAGGUAAGAUAAGUCUGGUAACGCCUCGUGCUCGACUCCGGCGACGGUCUCGGGUAAGGGGUGUUACAAAGUGCAGCUGUUCAAGUGUAAGACCAUAGCUAAGCUAUGGCAAUGUGACAAAGUGUUCAAGUGAAAAAUGUGAAAGUGCAAGUCCAUAGUUGAAUUAUGGUAAAGUGAUAAAGUGUGCCAAACAUGGCAAAGUGAUAAAGUGUGCCAAAUAUGGAAAAGUGAAAUGUGACAACGAGUGAACAACGUAUUCAAAUCCGUAAGACGUUUUCUAAUUUGAAAAAUGUUGGUAAGUGAUAGUUGAAGCUAAAUACUAGAAUACGAUUGGAUAUUUGAUGUUUGAAAUUGAGCUCAAUGAAAUGAAUUCAUCAUGAGAAAUUGUGGUUGACAGGUGAACUUAGUAAUUGUGUAUAUUGUAUAAGUGUAUGAAUGUUUGGUAAGAUUUAUGUUUUAUGCCUAUGAACUUACUAAGCUUCUAUAAGCUUACUUGAGUAUAUUCAAUGUCUCUUGUAGAUUGACGUGAAAAUAUACGGAGGAUUGGAUCAAUACUGAGGAUCACACUAUCCAGAUUAUCUCCGGUAGCUUUUGUAAAUUUCCUUUUUAAUUUAUAUGGCAUGUAUAUGGUUUGAUGGUUAUAUAAAUGCUAAGACUUGUUUAAUGAAUAUGUAUUAAAGUAAAGAGUGAUGAAUAAACUAAAUGGUAUAAUUAAAAUAGCAGUAUGAUUUGGUAUCAAAUUGGUUGACAUGGAUUGGCUGGUUUGGAAUGGUCUCGGUUUUAAAAUUGCAAGGAAGGUUGGAUAUUUAUAAAGAGGUUAUAUUGAGCUUAUAAAACUUUUGGAUUUUGCAAAAAAUUCCCUAUGGUUUCAGUUUAAUUCCGAUUUGGUCCCGAAGUAUGUUUUGGGCUUAGGAGGUUUAUCUAAAGGAUCUUAUGACAUAUUUUGGUAAACGAGUAGUAUUUAAUUCGUAAUAACAAAAAAUUGAUUCGGUAAACUCCGAUAAUGCCUCGUACCCUAUUUCGGCGACGAAUACGGAUAAGAGGUGUUACGAAUUCGGAUUACCUGUCUGAACUAAAUCCAUUUUACACGUAUUCUUCGGGAGGACUAUAUUAGGAUAGGAUCACCCGUCCGGGCUAGAUCCUUUUUACCGUCAAUUCCUUUUCAGAGAUCCAUCGAAUUUUCCUUUCAUUCAAUCGGUAUUUCUUCCCCUUUUAUCAAAUAUAUCAAUGUUUCAUCAAUUUUCAUACAAUGAACAUUCAAAUCAUAUUCACAUCAAUAACAUACAUUUCAAGCAUUUAAGAAUGUAAUUCAAGUUACAUGAACUUACCUUGAUACUUGUUCGUAUACGAAAAUCUACUAAUCCUGAACUUUUUCGUUUCCUCGAUCUAGCUUUGUAUUUGAAUUUUCUGGAUUUAAAUAAAUAAAUUUAAUCAUCAAUUUAAUACAUUUCAUGUCCAUAUGUAACAUUCUCUAUAAUUCCACUAUUAUUUAUAGUUCAUUCAAAGCUGUCUACUUGAGUAGUAGUCACUAAAUUUAUAUCUCAAGCUAAAAAAUUCCAAAUUAAAAACCGCUUAAUGUUUCUGAAACUAGACUCAAAUAUCUUUCUACCAUAAAAUUUUCAGAAUUUUGGGUUCAGCUAAUAAGUACAGCAAAAUCUUCAAACUUACCCCUAUUCUGCUAUCUGACAGCUUCAACCUUUCAUUGCUAAAAAUUAAUUAUAUCUUAGUACAAAAUUGGAUGAUGUUUCUGUUUGUUUCUAUUGAAAAUAGACUUAUUAACCUGUAAAUUUUAACCCCUAAUUCUUUUUCUUCAAUUUUUUAUGAUUUUCCAAAUUCAGAACUGGAGAACCCGAAUUCAUUCUGACCUUGUCUCACAAAAUUUAUUAUAUCUCAUGAUUUAUAUUUUCAUUGUUUACACCAUUUCUUCUAUGAGAAACUAGACUCAAUGAGAUUUAUUUCCAUAUUCUAAUUCGAUUUCUAAAAUUUAUGGUGAUUUUUCAAAGUUAGUCUACUACUACUGUCCAAAUUGUUUUAGUGCAAGAUGUUUAUUACCAUUUUUCUCCUAAGCUUUUAAUAAAUAAUAAUUUUGUCUCUACUCAAUUAGCCUCUCAAUUGAGCUUAUUUUUCUCAAUUAACACUUAAUUCUAUCAUUUUAAACUACUUUAUAACCUUUGGAAAUCAGAAUUUUAUCACUAGACUUUAAUUUCAAACAUCUUCACAAUUAGGUCCUAAAAAUCAAUUUCUAUUGAAAUUACAUAAUAAAAUCAUCUCAUAAACAAAUUAAAGCUUCAAUUUCAUGCUAUUUUAUCAUAAACUUACAGCACCCAACCAUGGUGACUUUCAAUUUCAUCCAUGAAAUAAAAAACUAAUGAAUUUAAUAGUAAGACCUAAUUGUAAAAGUCUUAAAAAUACAAAAAUUAUAAGAAAAGGGCAAGGAUUAACUCACUUGGUGCAAAAAUUAUUAAAUACCAGCUUUAAUAAACCCUUAGGAUGUUUUUGGCUGAUGAUAAUGAAGAAAUAUGAAGAGAAUUCUAGAUAUUCCAAUUUGGUCCCAUUUUUAUUUUAGUAAAUUUUGUUAUUUUCUCAUUUUGCCCUUAUUUCACCAAUUCUCCUGAUUUUUCUCAGCUUAUGCUGCCUAAAAUAUCUCCUUUUGGGUUUAUUUGCAAUUUAUGUCCCUCCUCAUUUAACAAUUGAGCUAUUUAAUCCUUUUAGUAACUUUUAUAAUUUUUUCAAUUUAGUCCUUUUUACUUAAUUAACUACCCAAAAGUAAAAAUUUUCUAACGAAAUUUUAAUAACAUAUUACUAACAUUUCAUAAAUAUUUAUAAAAUUUUUUUGACUUAGUUUUAUGAGAUCGAGGUCUGAAUACCUUAUUUUUACCCAAUUUCUUCAAUAAUUUCUUUUUCUAACUAACCACUAAAUCUGUAAAAUUUUUCUAUCGAUAUUUUCAUACGAUUUUCCUAUCAUAUCAAUAUUCAUGCAAAAUAUUAAAAUAAAUUUCUCUUUAAAUCAGAUUUAUGGUUACAAAAUUAUUGUUCUGAUAAUCUUGAAUUUAGGCCAUUACAGUCACAAGCCAUUAUCCUAGUAAAAAUCACAUUGGAUACUCCAUUUUGCAGGCAAGCCAUACCUUUGUGCUUCUUGGCACAAUCUUCACUAUGAUGCCUUAUUUGUGCAAUGGUGGGAUUAGCCCUCAAUGGAGGUGGUUCAGCAUCAUUCUCUACAAUAUUCCACAAAUCGUGUGCUUGGAGAUAUGUCUUCAUCUUUACUACCUAGAUUCGGUAGUUCUCUCCAGCAAGCACAGGUGAUGGUGGUGGUGAAAAACUCAUCCUCACAGCAACCAAACAAACCAAUAAAAAAUAACUUCUGCUUAUUUUCUUUCAACCGCAAGUCACUCACAAACAAAACACAAUCAAUGCCCUCAAAGAUGAUAGGCUCUGAUACCAUUUGUUGAGUUUUUUGCACACAGGAAGAAAAACAAAACCAAGUAAUUCGAAUGAAGUAUAAAGCUCUAUCUGAAAAUAGAUCAAGUAAUAAACCCGGAUAAAGUAUGAAAGAAGCUUGAGUUUCAAAGACUUGAGACUUACAAGAAGAACAACCAAAAUAGAAGCAAAAACAAAUUGUUGAGGAAGAAAAUGAAUUUUUCUCACCUUUCAUUUCAUCCAACAAAAGUAGAUAUGUUACAAUAAAAUUGACAGUUACCAAAUGUAUAAUUGAAGUACAAAUUACAAAGGAACUAAAUUAAGUUACAAAUGAACAAAUUAAACAAAAUGUUGUUGCUCCACUAGUUCAUCUUCAAUGCUGGUCUGAUCUUGCAUUGCAGGCCAAAGCUUAUCAAACAUAAUUAAUCUCUAAUGUUUUGACUUCGAGAAGGUCAAUUUCAAACAUUGUUGAUACUGCCAAACAUCAUAAAAGGGAAAUAAUAAAAAAUAUACAAAAAGAGAGAAUAAUAUAAAUAAAAUAAAAGUGGAUAUGGUUUAAAUAUUAAUUUAUAGAAUAAGUUUUUUUUUUAAAAAAAUACACAAUAUUGUUAAUAAUUUGAGUAACGGAAAUACGAGGAUGCAGAGGAAAGGAAGAAAAAAAGAGAAAGGGGGUGAAAUGGCAACAACAUGGAGAUAAAGAGACAGUUAAAGGCGGGUUGAAAGAUAAAAGCCAGUGAUCGGCAACCGAUUGAAUGUGGGAUACUGCUGUCGGCUAUGAGAGAAAAAGUCGGUUUGAGGUUGUUAUUUAUUUAGCUGGAAAAUAUAUGCUAAUAUUUGUUGUUUAUUAAUUUUUUCCUUAAAAAAGGAUAAAAGUUGCAGACAUCCAUGGAAACUGGCACCACCUUUUUCUUUCUUAAUAUUUUUAACAUUAACAGGUUGAGUUCAUCCUUUUAGUUGUCCUAACAUGAAUUUCCACAUCAACCAACUUUAUAGUUUAUUUUUAUUUAUUAUUACUAAUUAAUAAAAUAAAAUAAAGCCCAAACUUUUUGAAUGAAUCACAUUGUCUGGACCGGUAUUCCAUUUUGUAUGCUUCAAAUUAUUCAUCUCACAUUAAAUUAUUUUAGUCGUAUACUACAAUUUAAUCUUUUUCUUAAUAUUAAAUCAUUAUAUAUUCAAUAUUAAAAAUAUAAAUAUGUGCAGUUAAUUUAAAUUUUACAUAUAAAAGAUGGGAAUAAAAAAUUUGGAAAAAGAUAUGUAUGAUAAGCAAGAAGAGUGUUCAACCUUUGUAUUGACGUGCUAAAAGCCUUAUUCGUACAAAAAAACCGCAUUUAAUAGUUGAUUUUUACGUCAAAAAGAAGAAAACUAAUAGUAGUAGUAGGAACAUGACAUGAAUGAAACCAUGUUAAAACAAUAUAACUACUAUUUUCAGAAUUUAAUUUUAAAAAAAAAAAAAACACUAUCGUCCUUUUCUUCUUUCUUUCUUCCAAGUUCUUCAUCAUAGAAACAAAACCCAAAGGUAGAACCAUUUUUGCAAGCAUAAUUUUUCGGAAUUUCGGAGACCACUUCUUUCACUUUCUUUGGAACUCUGUUUUCUUCUUUCUUGUUUGGGAAUUUAAAGAUGAAGAAACGGAGAGAUAAGCUGACUUGAAAGAUGAUGGAGCCAGUGCCAGGGGCAUUGGGAACUAGCGCUAGCUUGGCUCUUCGUUUGGGACAAACAAUUUUCUCCUCUGCUUCACUUCUUUUCAUGUGUUUGGAUGUUGAAUUCUAUAACUAUACUUCUUUCAGGUGAUUCCCAAAAGCUUCAUUUCUUCUAUUUUGUUGGGUCAAAUUUUGAUUUUGGUUUUCUCUUUACCGUUUAAUCGUCAAUACCCAUGCCCUUAUUUCUGUUAUUUUGUUAGAAUUCAAUUUAUUGUUACUUGAUAGUUGAUUUCUGGUGUUAAAGUGGAAGUCUCUGGGAAAACUGUCAUGAUCAUCAUCUUGAUGAAUCUAGUACUAUGUUAGGAGUUAAAAUUUUUAUGAGAGGACUGAUCAAACAUUUCUUUGCUUUUCCAUUUUUAUUGAGGAAGCAAGAUAUCUGCAGUCAAAUGGGCUGUAUGCAAUUCUUUUAUGUGAUCUUUUGGGUUCUGGGCUUUGGAAUUAUCAAAUGCUUUCACUUGCUUAACUAUCAAACUUCAGUAAGGAUUCUAAAAAAGGGGUGAACUGUAUGUUAUUUCUUCUAUUUCAAUUGAAAUUUCUCUAAGUUGAUUCUAAAACUAGUUAUCAUAAACUUUAAUGGAUCUUGUAUUGUAUCUUCUAAUGUUUUUUCCUUGACUUUUGGUCCUUGAUUUCUCAUGUUCAUAUAAACAUCGAACCAGAUAGUACGGCAUUAUCCAUCUCAUCUGUCUUAACUUUUGUAAAUGUUCAGAACUCUUUAUAUAUCAAUUUUAAGAUGAGAAUAUAACUAACUUGUACGGUAACUUAUGUACUCCAAGCUUCUCACAUCCAAUUACCCUUUCGUUUUGGUAGGUUUUCAGUGUGCUUAUGAGAUGAGAUACAAGUACCAAUUGUUUUGAUUCAUAAUAGUAUCUUUUUUACCAUUGAUCAAUGCUGGAGUAUGCCCUGUUCUCGUAUAUGUUCUUCGGAACUUCAAACAAAGCCUUGGUGUUCUUAGUAAAAGCUGAAUUUUACCAAUUAGCUUCCCAUUAUCUCUUAACUUGUCUGGUCUAUGGUAUCCUUUGAUUCAUUGUAAGGAUGAAACUACAAUGUAAAGCUUUUGUGUUACGCUGUUGAAUGGUACCUGAAGGUACUGCUAAGACUAAAUAUUGGGGAUGAUUGCUUACUUUCCUCUUUUCUUUCAACUUUUUUCAGCUACCUUGUGACGGUGAUGGCCUUGGUAACGCCGUGGAGUGUGUCAUUGACAUUAAUUGAUGCAUAUUCCGUGUUUAUCAAAUGCUUACCACGACAACCACGAGUACUGCUGAUCGUCAUUGUUGGAGACUGGGUAUAUAGCAAGAUUUCCUUUGCUUUGUUAUCAUCACCAUGAUGUUAUAUUUUUUUCCACAGCUUGACGGGAAAAUUCGUGUUUUAUCUGAUUGCAGGCCUUGUCAUUUCUCUCACUUGCCGCAGCCUGCUCAACUGCUAUCGUUACCAGUUUCUUGGUGAAUGUUGGGACGCCAUAUUGCUGGUCGAAGUUAUGUAGUUGAUAUCAAUUUUCCUCAGCUAUGGCUUUCUUGUCUUGGUUCCUGUCCUUUGCUUCAACACUCUUCAAUCUUUGGCUCCUUCCUACUUUGUAGCGCAUCUGUACUUCCAAACCCAGUUUCAUACAGGAAACUCAGUAAGCAAAUCUUGACAAUUUCUAAGAUGCUCAAAUCAAGAAUUGUACAUAGACACUAUUAUGUAUAGUAAAAAAAACACAUUAAUGACCAGAUUGAAUUUCAAUGAAUUGGAAUGAAGUUUCCUUGUCAAUGAUUAAAUGUCUUAUAAUAUUAAAUACGAAUAUGAUAUGUGUAUUAAAUGUGUGUUAUAGUUGAUCAAAUAGACUUUGGAGUCAAGAGUUUCAAAGGUAAAAAAGUAAAAAGAUUAGAAGAUGAAGAAGACAGCUUGAAUGAGUUUAGACUUAAGCCUCUUCAAGUCAUCAUUCAAGCAUGCUUUCACAGUUUGAUUUCCUCUUUACUGGUCAUAGUAAUAUUACUAACUGUUGAUGCAUGAUGAUGCCUCUUAUAAUGCUCCAUGUCCAUACCUUUGAUUAGGUGUAAUCCUAUUGUUUUUUUGUUAGUUAAUCCAAUGGAACAAUAAGGAUACUCCAACAAGAAACAAUAAAGACAUCAUCUUCCCUCAUUAUAUUGAUUUGAAAACGGAAGAAUUAAUCAAAUAACAGCAUGACCACUUUAACCCAACCACUGAUGGUGGGGUUUGGGUCAUUAUCUACUGUGACCCAACCACUGAUGGUGGGGGUUAGGUCAUUAUCUAAUCUGUGACUUAUCAAAAGCCGAAGGCCAAAUACCGAAAGGGAUAGCAAGCAAUAGGCAAAUAACCGAUGCUUGUUGGGCCUUAUCACUUGGAACUUGAUCUUUGUUAAACAAGUUCUCAGAUUAUAAAUGGAGAAAUAAGUUUUGAGAUAACUUUUUGUGUUGUCUCCAAUCUAAUUUGUUUCUAAUUUAGUCAGGACCAAUGUGAGUUUUGGACACUGAAAGCCUUGGAACAAACAAAAAAUAGCCAAACCAUUAGCCACUAUGACCCCUUGUUAAUAUAGAUUUAACAAAAGCAAGAAGUGCUGCUGCUUUAGGGGAGAUUCUCCAAUAUAACAGAUUAACAACAGAAGCAUUGGAGCCUGGAAGAAGUAGCAUUGCAGCCGAAAGCCUACUUAGAAUAGUCACCAUUUGUAAAUAAAAUCGUAAAGUACAAUGAACUACAAUGAAUUUUACAAGUUACUGUGAACCUUCAGAGAUGAUCUGAAGCCUAAACAGGUUUCAUAAAUUCUUUCAAGGUUGGCCAAGCUGAUAUAAACGUGAAGUCUCUUUCACAAGAAAAAAAACUUAUUUAAUUUUAAAUGAUGUAAUUGAAGAGAAAUUAUUUAAGAUCUGGAUUUGAUCUUCUUGAAAUUUUGUAUGCUGGACAGCCUUGUUCAAACCUUUUUGUUUUAAUAUGCAUUACGCCAAGAAGCUGGACUAAAGGUUUUUUUUUUUUUUUUCAUUUUAAUGGCAUUAAGAUAAAAACAAAAAAUAUUUAAUAUAAAUAAAUUGAAUUGAAUUUCUAAUUAGUUUUAGAGAGAUGUAAUUAGUUGUUCAAAUAUUUGAUAAAAAUUCAAAUCCGUCACCUAAUGUUGGAGUUAAAAAACAAACGGAAUUAGAAAAAACUAUACGAAAUUACAACUUUAUAGCAGUACGUAGGUUUAGGAUUCUUCCACUUUAGCCAAUCCCAAGCAGGCCUAAACGUGGGAAGAAGAAACACAUCAACUUCAGCCAACAAACUCACGGAGGCUUGAAUGUGGGAAGAAGUCGCAGGUCCCGAUGCCUUCCUCUCAUUCUCCCUACCAUCGUUCUUGCUUUUCAUCUCUUUCAGUCUCUUCUUUACUCUCUCACCGCAUUCCCUAUUUUCUCAUCUUUAUCCUCCCUUCUCACUACUGGAUAGCUUCUCAAGUAUUUUUGCCUCAUCAUAUACCUCUCUUGACUGCAUCCGCUACUUAGUUUGAUAGGAUUUCGCACAUCUUUGCAACUUGAUGAAUACUUUAAACUCACCAUGAUUUCGAUAUAUUAUUCUUCCACUCGUAAUUCAAGGUGUUGUGUUUAUAUGAAUAGGAAAUUAAUCCUAGUCCUGUUAGAGGUCUAUUCCCUGCAAGCAUGUUGCAUUUAUAUUUGUAGGAAAUUAAUCCUAAUCCUUUUAGAGGUCUAUUCCCUGCAAGCAAAAUCUACAUUAAGAUGAGACAAAGUUGUAAUUUCAUUUACUAGUGAUGCAACAAGUAAUAUUAAAUACCGAAAUAUUAUUAAAUUGAAUGUAUUAAUUAUCCUAGUGAUUUAGUUUAUUUAAUGACUUUUUCAUAUAAAAGGUCAAUCGUUGGGAUUUAGAGUUUUACGUUUAAAUUGUAGAACUUAAUCAAUUGGAUUAAAUAGGGUUUAUUAUAACUUGAACUGUGUCGACCAAACUUUUUCUUCUUCAAUUGCCCUCGUCCAACACUACAGAAUUCUUCUAACAAUUCUUGAACAACUUUAACGUAUUUCUAUUGAGGAUCCCAACCCAACGUCAGCUCCCACUUGCAGCAGUGUCUGAUGAUGACUACCCGAACUCCCUCCUCCAUUAUAAUACAGCAACCCACCAUCUCCUAUCCUCAGCUCUUUAUCUUUGACCUCCAAGUGUGGCAAGGAAGGAGAUAAAGAUAACGGAAGGCCUUGACAUUUUACAACACUUGGCCUGUUGAGUUGGGAAACAAUGUUACCAUUAUCAGGAACCCGAGUAAGGAGAGGUGGAGAUAGUACAGUGCUUAUACGAAAAGCCCCUUCGGGACCUGAUACAUUAAACCCUUGAAGAGAAGAAGGUGGAGCAGAAGGAGAUGCCGAUCUUGGCUGCGGAUUCAUCAAGAAAAGGUGCAUGGCAGAAGCUGGUUCUGCAUUAAUGCUUGGCAACUGCUGAUGGUUAAAGUGACUCAUUGAUUUACCUUACUGUCCCAAACCCCCAACAAUAUUACCAGCUGGCUUGUUUGCUUAAUAAUUGGACAGUAGAGAAGGCUGGUGGAAUAAUUCGGUGGCAGCCGUCACCAUACCUGAAGAAACAUCGAACAUUUCGGAUAACUUGCCUGCUGUUUCAUAAACAAGAAGAGCAUUUGAUUCUUCCUUUUCGAUCCCUACUAAUGGUAGAGGUGGAGACUAAGAGCCUCGAACACUCAUCGUGGCUGAUCCCUGGAAGCCAUUCGAGAAUCUGAAGAUGGCAGCUGCGUGGUGUAAUCUUGGGACAUAGAUUGUCUUUGUAGGAUUAGUAUUGCUAUCGUUUUGAACUGGAAUUUUGGUUACAGGGUUUUUUAGUGGCGUUUGGAUAAAAACGCAAUAAAUAUUAUAUAUUCAAACGCCGCAAAAAAUUGAGCGGUCCCUAAAAACUAAGCAAUAGCGGCGCUUUCGGAAAAACGUCGCUAUAGAUCGAAGUUUUAGCGGCGUUUUUUAAAAAAUGCUGCAAAAAACAUAUCUGUCUAUUUAUUAUUUAAUUGGUUUAUUUAUUUUAAUUAAAAUGCAAUUUAUUUUUUUAAAAAAAAUAAUGACACGUAGAAAAAAUUUGAAAGUAAAAACAUAGAAAAAUAUUUGUUAAAAAUGAAAAAAUUUAAUUAUCAUUAUAGUUUAGGGUUUAUUGUAUAUGGUUUAGGGUUUAAGAUUUAAGAGUUACUAUUUCUAGGUUUAUGGGUUAUGGGUUUAGGGAUUAUGGUUUAUGGUUUAAGUAUUGGGGUUUAAAGUUUAGGAGUUAGGGGUUUAGGGUUCAUGAGUUAUGUUCUAAAAUUUAGGAUUUAGGGGAUAAGGGUUAGCAGUUUAGGGUUUAGAUUAAUAAGUAUUUUUAAAUUUUAUAUUAAAUAAUUUCUUAUAUAAUUGUAAAAGAGAUAAAAUUAAUUUUAAUAUAUUAAAAUUAUGAUUAUAGUUUAAAUUAUUUAAGAGAUAAUAGAUAAACUUUAUAUAUAUUAAAUGAUUUAGAAUUUAAGGUUUAUUUGAGAUUUGUUAAAUGAUGAAAUUUUAUACCAUCAAUUAAUGUUUUUAUAUUAAAAAAUAAUUAAUCUAAACCAUUUGAUAUAUUUAAGUAUUAGAUUUAAAAAAAAUUGAUAAAUAAAUAAAAUAAAGUAAUAGAUUGAUAUGGAUAGGUAACUAUCUAUUUUAGAUAAGACCAAAUUAUAACAAAUAAAAAUGAAAUACAAAAACUAAAAUCAUUCCACAUUGAACAUCUAGCAAAAUAGUUAUAUUUUAGUUUGAAAAAAAUAUCUCUAAUAAAAUGGAGAUUAGAUCGGAAAAGAAUAAUAUAAAAUCAUGAUUAACGUCUCAAUCUUUAAUAGAAAUUUGAUAUGUGAGAGAUUGAUUGCUUACAUUGGAUAAUUCUAACUUAAUAAUUAAUUAUAGCCAUUUAAUUAUUUGUUUUCUUAUAAAAAUAUAUGAUAUUUAUUUUGAGAGUACUUGAUAUUUUUUUAUAAAAAUCUAAUUUAUAAAAAAUAGUAAUAAUAAAUAUUUUAUAAAAUUAUGUAACUAAUAAUUUUUAGUAGACAAAAAUAAAAAAUUUUUAGCAGAAUAAAACGACGUUUUGUUCAAAAUGAAAUGAUUUUUUAUGGCGUUUUUAAGAAAAACGCCACAAAAAGUGAGCAAGUGGCGUUUCCUUCUUUACGCGUUUUAUCCCCAAAAAUUUCCCCCCUGCAACCCCUAAUUUUCCCCCCUAAAAUCAUUUUUUUCCUUUCAUCUUAACCCAUUUCAACUUUCCUUCCUUCAUUGAUUUUUAUGUGUUUUUUAUUUUAAAUCUCUCUGCAACAUAUAUCAGUUAAAGCUUCAACCUUUAUACCCAAAUACAAGAUUUAGAGUUUAAAAAAGCAUCAGUCUUUGUUCUUUUGUGUAUAAAUCACGAGAUUUGUUUGGUUUCUAAGAAAAUAUUUUAUUCGUGUUUGGAAGAUUUUCUUCACCAUUUUAGAGGGUGUCUUUGUUUUUCUUUUCGUUGACGCUCUAUAAAGUCUUAAUUCCUCCUCUUCGUUUCAUUUUCCCGAGAAAAUGUUGGACUUGACAGAAAAUCCCAAGUUGGUAAGUAUAAUCUCUCUGGGUUUUCUUCAUUUUUUUCCCCUUUAUUUACUGUUCAAUAGUUUUUUUUUUUCAUCAUCAUAAUCAAUUGUUUCAUUUCUAAUAUAAAUCCUUGAAAAAAUUUUAUCUUCGAAUUUGGGGAUAGGAUUUGCAUCUUCCAAUGAGAUUUCAACACAAAAAAUCUCAGUUUCGGAUCAUAUAGGUGGGUUUCAAUACACAGCUAUAAACCCAAUGGCUUUGUUAUCGACAUGGAUAGUUUCUCUCAUGGAGGACUUAAUAAAGAAAUCAAUCAAAACCCAAGAAUCACAGUAAGUUUACUUUCUUUAUUUUUUCUGGGAAAAUUUCCAAAAUCUUGCAAUUCCACUUCAAGCAGGGGUGGCCUUUUCUUUGUUGCUAAUAGUCUAUUUUACUCUAACUAUUAUGUUGUGUAUUGCAAUGCCAAAUGUGUAGUUGCAUUGAGAAUGAAAAUCGAAUCACUUCAGGUAUUCUUUUCUUUUUCCUCUUAUGAGUCCGAUAUUGAAAUGUGUUUUAAUUCAAUUUUGAGUAAUUGAUUUUUUUUUUUAGUUUUAUUAUCUUUGAAUCUGCUCAUUUGAUUUACUGGAAACGAUUUUCCUGAUUUUGGGUAAUUAGAAUUAGAUUUCAUCCAUGGUAUUUGUGGAUUAUGAAGCUAUUGAUUCAAGAACAAAGCAAUCAACCUAUCUUCUUUUCUUUUUUUUCUUUUUGUUCAAAAUAGUGUAAAUUAAUUGUUUAAGAUUGUAAGCCUAUGAGUAAUUGAAACCAAAUAAUCCUUGUUCUAGCCAAAUAUUCGUAAAAUUCUCCCCCUGGUGGACUGUAAAUUGAGUUUGAACUGGAUUUAUUGAUCCCCAUUUUGUUUGUUCUUAUUGCAUUUCUUUAGGAAAAAGGGCACUGAUACAAUGAGGUUUGUUACUGAGUAUCGAAGAGGUUUUUAAGUUUAUUCAAGUUAGAAUGUAUGCACAUAUGAAAAUCUUUCUUUGUAGGGCUUCUUGAAUCUCGAGACGCAAAAUUUGAUUUCUAGGCUAUAUUGCAAGGUUGUUUGGAGGGGCAAUUUUAUAUAACUUUUUUAAUUUUUUUAAUAAACUGCUUACAACCCUCAAUUACUAAAGUAAAAUGUUUGAAGUAUAUUUUAUAAUUUUUUAAUGAAGCAAUUUUAGGCUCUAAUUAACCUGUUAGUGCAUCACUAAUGAAGGUAUCUCAACUUUGAUUAAUUACUUGUUUUAUAUGUUAUCAAGAUACUGAUGCAAUGAUCUUGGUUUUCAAAUUUCAACAUCCUAAUAACAUGGUUUUACCCAAAUUUUUUCUGGUUUAUCAGGUUUAGGUAAGAUCAAAAUAGAGACUCUAUUGUACUUACCAAAGCAAGAAGGCAUGUAAUGGAUAAAGAUGUGAGUAAAGACAUCUGAACCAAUGCAAAUUUGAGGUUUAGGUAAGAUGUGAGUAAUAUUUAUUUAUUACUUGAAAUUUUAAGGAAUUUAUAUAUUUUUUGAAUGCUUUAUUAUUGUUGACUUAAAUUGUUACAUCAACAUCAUAAUAGUUAUUACGCACAUUAAUGGUGAAAAACAGAAAUUAUUAAUCAAAAAGUUUAAUUGAUGCAUUUUGAGCGUCUUAAGAUUUAAUUGAGUACAACUUUUUCAAAAAACGACCAUGAAUUGAUAUUUUUUCGAAAAAGUAUUUCUUUUUUAACCCGUUUAAGGUUUUUUUUUAUAUUUUUAAAUCUUUGAUGAUGAUCUUUUAUUUCUUGUGCAGCAUGGAAAGGAUCUUUGAACAAUAUGAAAGAUACUCGUAUACUGAGAUCCAAUGUGCUACAGAUGAAAUUCAACAAAAUGUAAACUCAACCCUCCUAAACUUCAUUUUACAAAUCUUUAAUUUUUUUAAAACAUGCUUUUUCGGUUUCAUUUUGAAAGGGGAUGUUCAUGGAUCAGACCAUGAAAAAUUUGAAGACACCAAAUCUGUUCUACUUGUUGACUUGGGAUGAUUUCAAUAUGUUCUUUUACAGGGAAACUGGACCUAGGAACAUGCAAAACUUAAAGCUAGAAUGGAGACUUUACAAAGAAACCUGAAGUACCCCCCAAUGGCUUCAAAUUUCAGAUACAUUCAAGGCAUGCAUCUUUCACUUUUACUAAAAUAAUUAAUUAUAUUUCUAGGCAUUACGAAGGAGAAGAUAUCCAGAAUUUGAGUCUUAGAGAGCUUCAAAAUUUGGAGCAACAACUUGAUUCUUCCCUUAAACGCAUAAGAUCCAAAAAGGUUUAAAUCACUCCAACAAUAUAUAUACAGCAUUAUUUUCCUUAGUGUAAAAGAUUUUCAUGAUUUAUAUUUUAAAUUGGUCCAAUAUUUUAUCGUAUUGAUUAAAAAUAGUGUCUCAACCACAUAAACAAUUAGGGGUGAAUUCAAAAAUCUUUUAAAUAGACCAUUUUUCAUUGUUGAAGAGUCAAGUCCCCGCUUGCCUUUAAAUUUGCCUCUAGUUAAAAUUUUUUAAUAAACUCAAAAUUCGAAUAUCAAAUCUUACUUUUGUACGAUAAGUUAUGCAUGCAUGCAUAUAAUUUUGCUUAUAAUUCUGCAGCAACAUAACUUGGCUGUUGAUAAUGUUUAACUUGCAGAAUCAACUUAUGGUUGAAUCAAUUUCUGAGCUUUAGAAAAAGGUAUGCCAUGGUUUCUCUUAUAAAUAUCUAAUUCCUGAGCUCAUUUUAAAUAUUCUACUAAACCAAAAAUGUCAAAACUAGCUUUCAUUGUAUUAUUUUAACAUAUAUUGUGCUCUGAUUUUUUCAUUAUUUCUUUUUAAAGAAUUCGACACCUUGUAUUAAAAAUAUAUCAGACAUGAUAUAGGAUAUAAUUCUCUAAUAACUCUCCAAAAAUAUGAAAAAUCUCAUAUUCCUGUCUAAUACGAAUCCAUGUCUUAUAGUAAUAUUUACUAUCCAAAUCCAAGUAGCAUAUAUAUGAAAUUAUGAACUUGAGCUUGCUUGAUUUGUUCCAUAUGCAGGACAAAGCACUGCAAGAACAGAAUACCAAAAACAAGAAAGAUUGAUAUAAAGCUUUAUCACUCUUAUCAAUCACUUACCAACUCCUUGAUCAUCAUGUUUUCCAAAGGUAAAGUCAUUGAUUAUAUACAUAAAUUUCUCAAAAGAUAAAAGAAUACCAAAAAUCUCAAUAUUCAGCUUGUUUUUUUUUUCUUUUUCCUGUCAUGAACAGACAAAAAAUGUGGUGAAGAUGAUUAUAUUCUCACCUACUAGGACAAAGAAGAAGAAUGGCUGAUUGCAGGCGAUAUUCCAUGGCAGUAAGAAUAUUUUUCCUUCCUUUUCUUGGUUCCUUACUAUAGUUUUCUUAUUACAAGCAACCUUUGCGAGUAAUAGUAAUCAUGGAAGGAGUACAAGAAAAAAAACAUAAAUUUAUCCGGCAUUUAUAAACAUUUGCAAUCCUUUUACAUUAUCUUCUCAUAGAAAAGAACUUUAAUUAACUUAACAUAUUGGACUGAAUUUUAAAUACAUACGCAAGUUAAAGGUUAAAAUUGAAUUUAUGAAUAGAGUGUCUAAAUUUGGAUGAAUUAAUGUUGGUUUUGUAGAAAUUUUGUUAGGAGUGUGCAGCAAAUGGAGAUAGUUAGGAACUGGGGUUGAACAUUGGAGUUUGAUGGGAUUUGCAGUCUACUUUUAUAAGCAAAAUUUACUAGUUUAUACCAACUUUAGUACUUUGAAUAUCAAUUGUUCCUUCCAAUAAGUACGUAGUUUGUAAAAUAAAAUAAAAAAGAAAAAAGAAAAGACAAAAACAUGUAAAAUGAGUGAAGUAGUCGUAGAUAUUCUAAAAAAAGUGGACUUCAACACUGUUAAAUGUUCUCUUGUUGCUUUUACUAGGUUAAGAAGCGAAUGAAGAAGCCUAUCUAUGUCUACUACCAACUGGACAAUUUCUACUAGAAUCAUCGGAGGUAUAUCUUUUCUACCUUCACUACAAGUUUUGCGCUCCAUUAUAUGCUCUAUUGCAUGCUGGCUGAUCUUUAAAAUGAUGUUAAGGAUAUCCUCUUUUUCAUUAGCAGUCAUCAUGCAAUAUUUUAACUAAUUCUAUUAGCAUUUACCAUAUGCUUUUUACAUGAACCCAUAUGAGUUUUGGGUUUUAUGGAAGUUUGUAUCUCUUAAACUGGAAUAACAACCAUCAGUAUGAGUUUCUAUUAAUGUCCUCUAGAUAUGAAAUCAAAUUGUGUUGAAUUAUAUUGAAAAACCACCGGAAAAUGUUUGUGUCCUCUUAAUAUCAAACUCUAGAGUCUAGAAUCCAGGCACCUCGGUGUGGAUAAUAGAUUGUAACUAGAUUUAUCUGUCAAAGUGACGAUUUAUCUGAUCAUUUGGUUUUGCAUCCUUUAGAUAUUAAAGGUGCGGCAGAGGAUUCAAUCUCUUCAAGCUGGAAAAGCCAAGGCUUAGAACUUCUUCAAGUGGAAUGUUAUUUAAUGUUGCAUUCCAUGGUCAUUCACCUUAGUUGGAACUUGAAUUUUGUGUUAUGGAAAUAGGAUUUUGUAGCUACCUUGUGUACUAGCUUCUUUAACCAUGAUGGUUAGUUUUUACGAGUUUUGUAGUGUUAAUUAUUACGAGUUUUGUAGCUUCUAUUAUUUAAACAUAAUAUUUAAAUUCUAAAUUUAAAUUUUAGUUUUAAAGUUAAAAUUUUAAUAAAAAAUUUAAUUUAAUUAAUAUUUUUUAUUUAUCCUUAAAAGUAUAUAGUUUAAAUUUCAAAAAUAAAACAUAAUAUAAUAUUUAUCAUAAAAAUAAAUAUUUAAAGAUAUGUUCUUUAGCAGCGCUUUUGGAAAAAGCGUCGCUAAAGGUUAUGGUUUUUAGCGGCGUUUGUAAGAAAAGCGCUGCUAAAGGUUAUGAUUUUUAAUAGCGGAAAAGCGUCGCUAAAAGCAUGAUCUUUAGUGGCUUUUGCAGGAAAAGUGCUGUUAAAGGUCAUGGUCUUUAGCGGCGUUUUUGGGAAAGCGCCGCUAAAGGUCAUGUUCUUUAGCGGCGUUUGUGGGAAAAGUGUCGCUACAGAUUAUGACCUUUAGCGGCGUUUUUUUCAUAAAUGCCACAAAAUGUUAGCGGCGUUGUCUUUAGCGGCGUUUUUUAUAGUACUUGUAAAAGCGCCACAAAUAGUUUUAGUGGAGCUUAAAAGCGCCGCUAUAGGCCUAAAAAAAGCCGCUAAAAGUUAAUUUUGCUGCAGUGUAGUGAGUCAUAGAUUCUCGAGAAAGAUUUGAUGGGACAAAAGCCAGUGCUGCUAUUCCCAUUUAAGUAUCUUCUUGUGCUUCAUGAUCAUCACUUAUCCUUGACCUUGUCUAUGUUAAAUUAUGAUCAGUAAUCCACCAGUAAAAACAAAUAACACCCAUCUUGAAAUUAGUCUCAAUCAUUCAAGCAUUAUAAGUAACUAAAGAAAGAAAGAUAAAAAGAAUCAAAUUCUCUCAGUGAAUUGAAGGGUACAAGAAACGGAAAGAAGAAUAUGAAUUUGUUAUCAGUUUCAGCUAGGGAAUCAAAUUCAAAAUGUUUUCCUAAAGAAGCAUAUGUUAAGAGUAUAGUUACAGAAUAUGAAGAAUGAUAAACUGUAAUUUAUACAUAUUUUUAUCCCAUGCUUAACACAUUUUAUGGAUGAUUUUUCCUUAGAAUUGGUGAAUUCGAUGCUCCUAAUGCUUUAAUUUCAUGUUUUAUACUUAGGCAAGCAUAGGAGAGCGAAAGGAACAAGAAACGAGCCAAAAACGGAGAAAAUGGGCCAAAGUACGAAAUCAACAUGGCCUCGACUUCCUCACACGGGCAGAUCACACGGCCGUGUCAAUUUGGCAGAAUCGAAGCACGACUCACACGGGUAGAACACACACCCGUACCAUUCUAACAGGCUCGAGCACAGCCUAAAGUAAUCGCACACGAGUGUGUCCCUGCCGAGCCCAAGUUGAGUCCAAUUCGGAAAAGGCUAAUUUUGAGGGCUUUUAGGCAUUUUAAAGCCUAUAAAUACACCCUAAAGGAAGAGGGAAAAGGGUGGCACAGGGAGGAAGUAAGGAAUUACUCGAAGAAAGUCGAUUGAUCCCUCUCAAAAGCCGGAUUCACCAUCAAGACUAAAAAUCUCCCCUCAAUUUCCCUCCAGGAGUUUUGGGUUUUCUUUAUGUUUUGUAUUCAUUAUUCUUCUGAGAUGUUUUCCUUUUUAGUUAUGAACUAAAUCCCCUAAAUACCUAAGGGGAAUGAAACCUAAGACGAAUCUUGUUAUUAUUUUCUGAAUUGUAUGAUAAAUAUUUGGCUUAUUCUUAAUUAUGUGUUCUUAAUUCUUGUUUUGAUAUUUCAGGAUAUUGAUUCAAGUUAAGCUUUUAUUCAGAGGAGGAAUAGACCCUGUCUAAGAGUACAACUGUCAUAAUUAAGCGAAGUUGAUUGCGCGCCUAGAGAUAGGUGACAAGAUUUUGCCGAAUUAGGGUGAAACCUAAUAAGGGGAUCCAUAGAUCGAGUUAAUGCAACCUUAGGGUGUUAAUUAGAGAAAAGUCUCAAUUAUUCAAUCUAGGGAUUAGACGUUAUUAGUCUUGAAUAGGGAUAAUAACAUAACUUAGGGAUCUCUAUGAAAUAAGUUAAAUGAAUAAAUCGUCCGAUUCGGAGUCAGAAUAACAAGUGAAGUCUAGGUGGAUUCUUCCUUAGAUAUUGUCUUAAUUCAAUCGUUUUCCAAAAGUAAUCCCUCAAUUCUAUUUUUUGUGAAUUUUUAGUUUAGUUAAUUAGUUAGUUAAAACAAACCCCCUUAUUCUUACGCUAGAUAAUAAAAAGGCAGUCAUUACUAGUACUUUUAGUUCCUUUGGGUUCGACAAUCCGGUCUUGCUAAAACUAUACUACUGUUCGAUAGGUACACUUUCCUACAUCGUGAUAAUAGUUAGUUUCAAGAAUGAUUCUUUAUAAAUAUUUAAAACCUGUCACACAAAAUCGCGAUCAAGUUUUUUGCGUCGUUGCUGGGGAAUUAAGAUAUUAGAAACGCUUAAUUUUUAUUACUUUAGCCAUUUAUUUUUCUUGCAAGUUAAUUCUAUUUUAUUUUUAUUUUUAUUUAUUAAUUUACUUUUUCUUUCUCUUGGCAGGUUUUUAUAGUUUAUGACUAGAAGAAACCCGUCAAGCCCACUACUUUUUUACGAAGAAAUCGAUCGCACAGUUCGCAGAAACUAAAGAGAAAUAAGGCGAAGCUUAAGAUACACAAAGAAUGAGCAAGAAGAUGAUAUUCAAACCCCAACUGAGGAGAUGGCUAAAAACCAAGACAAUUAGCUACCUCCUGCGAUACCCGUUGAACUAGCAAAUCAAAAUCCCGCUCCUCGUACUAUGUAUGAUUAUGCUAAACCUAUUUUAACAGGAACUGAGUCAAGUAUAGUUAGGCUUACUAUUGCUGUGAAUAAUUUUGAACUACAACCUAACACUAUUCAAAUGAUAUAGCAAUUUGUUCAGUUUGAUGGUUUGCAGGAUGGGGAUCCAAACACUCAUUUGGCAAAUUUCUUGGAAUUCUGCGAUACAUUUAAAAUUAAUAGCGUUUCUGACGAUGCCAUUCGUCUUCGGUUAUUCCCUUUUUCAUUGAAGAAAAAAGCUAAACAGUGGUUGAACUCGUUACCACGAGGGUCAAUUACUACUUGGGAACAAAUGACUGAAAAAUUUUUAUUAAAAUAUUUCCCGCCGACUAAAACAGCCAAAUUACGUAAUGACAUCUCUUCGUUUGUGCAGAUGGACUUAGAAACUCUUUACGAUGCAUGGGAGAGAUACAAGGACCAACUGCGAAGGUGUCCUCACCAUAGAUUACCUCUAUGGUUGCAAGUUCAAACAUUCUACAAUGGUGUGAACCCCUCGACAAGGCAAAUGAUUGAUGCAGCAGCCGGGGGAACCAUCAACAACAAAACACCUGAAGAGGCUUACGAAUUUAUUGAAGAGAUGUCACUGAAUAACUAUCAGUGGCAAGUCAUGAGAACUAAGCCAACUAAAACAGCAGGCGUUUAUAACGUCGAUUCGGUUAGUAUGUUGUCAAACCAGGUAAAAUUUCUAAAUAAAAAUAUUGAUGGUUUACUUGGUUCAACUCAGGUACAACCAGUAAUGAAGUGCGAGACGAAUGGAGGAAGAGCAUACACAGAGUAUCAACCCUUCAACCCUAGCACCAAGGAGGAACAAGUCCAAUAUAUGGGUAACAAUAACCCUAGAUCCCAAAAUAACCUAUAUAGUAACACUUCUAACACAGGUUGGAGGAACCAUCCCAAUUUCUCGUGGGGCAGUCAAGGAAAUCAAAGAAUACAACAUCCUCUGGGUUUUCAACAACCACUCUAUCAACAGGAAAAGAAACUGAACCUUGAAGAGAUACUGUCUAAAUUUAUCUCAGUGUCAGAAACCCAUUUUCAAAACACUGAGACAACACUUAAAAAUCAACAAGCAUCGAUCCAAGGGCUCGAAACUCAGAUAGGCUAGCUGUCCAAACUAAUAUCCGAACGACCACAAGGUAGCUUGCCAAGUAAUACUGAACCCAACCCAAAGGAACAACUCAACGCGAUUAAUGUUCAAGACGAAGAAGGAUUCGUUGAGCCUGAGCCAGAACCGAGGCAAGAAACUGUGGUGAGCAGAGGUCAAUGUGAGGUGGGUCAUAAUAAAAACAAAUCAGUGAAAGUCGAAUAUAAACCUCAUGUGCCAUACCCCAACACGACAAGGAAAGACCACACCGAUGAACAAUUUGGUAAAUUCCUUAAACUCUUAAAAAAAUUACAUAUUACCUUACCGUUUAUUGAAUCCUUAUCGCAGAUGCCAAACGCAAUGAAAUUUUUAAAAGAGCUUUUAGCAAAUAAGUAGAAGUUGGACGAGGCGUCGUAUGUGGAGCUGAACGUAGUUUGCUCAGCUGUUCUACAGAAUAAACUACCCAACAAACUAAAAGAUCCAGGGAUUUUUACGAUUCCUUUUUUAAUUGGUAGUUUAGAUGUUAAUAAUGCAUUAGGUGAUUUAGGGGCUAGUAUUAAUGUCAUGCCCUACAAAAUGUUCAAACAAUUAGGUCUUGGGAAACCCAAACAAACUAGGAUAAGCAUUCAAUUAGCAGAUAAAACUAUAAGAUUUCCUAGGGGUAUUAUUGAAGAUGUGCUAGUUAAAAUUGAUAAAUUUAUAUUUCCGUUGACUUCAUUGUUCUAGACAUAGAGUAGGAUAGCAACACUCUUCUGAUUUUAGGAUGGCCCUUUUUAGCAACUGCUAAAACGAUUAUUGAUGUUGGCACAGAUGAGCUCACACUCCGUGUGAGAGACGAAAAAAUCACUCUUCAAGCUCGCAAUUACAAUACAUUACAACACCAUAUCGGACAAUGCAUUACAACAGUACGAUAGCGGAGGUCUGUAGCCAAUUUAAGAUCAAACACCAUAACUCAUCACCAUAUAGCCAAAAAAUGAAUGGUGUGGUGAAGGCAGCCAAUAAGAACAUUAAAAAAAUCAUGGGGAAAAUGACUGCGACUUAUAAAAAUUGGCAUAAGAAGUUACCAUUUUCCCUCUAUGCUUAUCGAAUGUCUGUUGGACCUCCACCGAGCAACGCCUUUCUCUUUGGUUUAUGGAAUUGAGGCAAUUUUUCCUAUUGAGGUUGAAAUUCCUUAUCUUCGAGUUUUGUUAGAGCUGAAGUUAGAUAAAGUGGAAUGGAUCUAGUCUCGAUAUGAUCAACUGAACUUGAUUGAAGAGAAGAGGCUGAAAGCUAUCCGUAAUGGUCAGAUAUACCAAAAGCGAAUGAUACGAGCUUAUGACAAAAAGGUUUGCCCAGAGAAUUCCAUGAGGGGGACCUGAUAUUGAAAAAGAUCCUUCCUAUAUAAAAAGGCUUCAGAGGAAAGUGGAUGCCAAAUUAGGAAGGACCUUAUGUGGUAAAGAAAGCAUUUUGUAGGAAGCGCUGAUUUUGACAGAGAUGGAUGGAAAAAACUAGCCUAAUCUUGUGAAUUCAAAUUCAGUCAAGAAGUACUUCACCUAAAAAAAAUAGAAAGGCCAAGGUGAAAACUCAUAAAAGGCGCCUUGAAACCAAAAGGGUUUUGAGUGAAAACUCAAGAAAAGGUAAUUUAAAUUUUGAUCGAAGAUGGGGCAUGUGGUAGUCUUGUUCCUUCAGAAAUAACAAGGAGGAGGAAUUUUACAUCUUGGGGCAUCAACAAAGUACUAUAAAUCUCCUAAAUACAUAUCAAGCUCAAAAUGAUCCUCAAGAAAUUUGUGCAAAGAAGCUCAUGGUGCGAUAUUUGGGGCACUUAAUUUCAUCUAACUCAUUUUGUAUUUUAGCAAUAUUUGCUAUUUUGAUUAAUUCAUUCAUUUCGAGCCUUACUCCCAAUAAAUUUCAAUCUUAUCCAUUGUUACAGUUUUUUUCAAGCAAGCAUUUUUCAUUGAAAUAACGAUUAAUGGACUAAUAAUAUUCAAGUAAAAUGAUUUUUUACAUAUUGCUCUGAAAGGUUUUCUAAAUAGUACAAGGAUUUGAAAUAGGACAAUGAGUCAGAACUAGUCAAAUUUAAGAGUUAAAAAUAUUUGGGAAAGAAUAAUCUAAAUUAUGAUUCUUUCUUCGAGUUUUUUGACAAAGAUACCAGCUAAACAGGAAGGCAGGUAAUGCGUCAGUGAUAGAACCUUUAUGAACAACGAGCAAUGUCAACCUAAACAUAAAAAGGGAAUCAUUCUAAAAAAAAAAAGACAUUCGGCAUUCAUGAAAAUAUCAUUCAUAUACAUCUAGUUAGGAGCAUUUGAUUCAUUCUGAUCAUAACAUCCUAAUCACUCGGCAUAAAUAUAGGCCCAUGAAAUGGAUUCUACAGGUCAUGUUCCCCAGAGAACAGUGUAACAGAUCAGUGAAACCACAAAUCCUAUACCCCUAAAGUUACAGUGGGACGGAUUGAAGUUAUCAUGGUGAAUUUUAUCUCCCUAAAAUUGCAGUGGAGCAGAUUAAAGCCGCAAAUCCUAUACCCCUGAAGUUGUAGUGGGACGGAUUGAAGUUAUCAUGACAAAUCUUAUCUCUCAAUCUUAUCUCCCUAAAGUUGCAGUAGAGCAGAUUAAAGCCACAAAUCUUAUACCCCUAAAAUUGUAGUGGGAUAGAUUGAAGUCAUCAUGGCGAAUCUUAUCUCCCUAAAGUUGUAGUGGGAUGGAUUGAAGUUAUCUGACAAUACAUUUUAGCCCCUUUGUUAUUUAAUUUAUUCAAUUUGUCCUUUUAAUUUCAUUUAAAUUACGAUAAGUCCUCUAUUAAUUUUAACUCUUUUAUUUAUUUAUCUAUUAUUCCUUCGUUUUUUUAAUAUAUAAAAUUUGUUAUCUUUUCAAACAUUUUUUUUAUUUUACGCCAUUAUUAUUAUUAAUGUUAUUAUUUAUUAUAUUUUGAUUAUUUAUAUUAGAAUUAGAAUAUUAUUUUAUUUAUUUAUCAUAUUAUUUUAUUUAUUUAUCUAUUUAUUAUCUCUUACCCUUUAUAUGUUCAGAAAAAAAAUAUGAUGUUAAUAUUUUUUCUUUAUUUGUGCAUUUGUUUUUCGUAUUAUUCUUAUUACUAUCAUUAUUAAUAUUAUUAAUAUUAUUUAUUUUUCUCUAUUAUCAUUUAAUUAGUAUAGAAUUAGUAGUUAUAAUAUGAUUAUUGCCGUUGUUUAUUUGGUGUUUUAUUAUUAUAGUUAUAUCAUCAUCGUUUAUUAGUAUGAUAUUUUUAUUUUUAUUUGUAUAUCAUUGUUUUAUUUUUACACACUAUUAUUUUAUUUUAAUAUAACCAUGUCAUAAAUUGUGUUUAAACAUGCUUCCGCAUUUUUAUACUAUGCUCGAAUAAGCUAAAUACACAUUAUUUUAAAUAUUGCAUUCGUCUUUGCACGAGGCACAAAAAAUGAUUUUUUUAAAAUCAAAGUAAUGUUCAUUAUUUUGGAAUUAGAAAAAUCGUGUUCUUAACUUACGGAAUAUGGCUUCUUUCUAAAACCGAGAUAGUCGAAUAUUUACUUUAAAAUAAAAUAAAAACGGGAUUCAAAUAACGAUUAAAUGGCGUUUAUUCUUGAUUUCGAGGAUUUAAGGCAUUGUUUCCUAACUUACGGGAUAUGAUCCUUCCUUUUCGAUUGACUUGAAAUAGGCCCCUUUUUUUAUGAAAAAUAAUUUAGUAAUGUCUUAAUACAAAGGGAUCGUAUUUUAAAUUCGCUUCAAAUUUUUAAUUUUCGACACUAAGACAUCGAGUAAUCAAUUAGGUACCAAUUUUGGGCGUAACGAGGGUGCUAAUCCUUCCUCUUACAUAACAGACUCCCGAACCCAUUUCUUGGAUUUUGUAGAUCGAAAAGUAUCGUUUUAAUAAGUCUAACAUUUAAUUAAAAUGAGUUUUAAGGUAACUCAAUUAAACCUAAAUAAAAGAAAUUAGUGGAGACUCUAAUUUUUAUUUUUAAAAUAAAAGUCGACUUCAAAAAAGGUUUCGACAAUUUAUUAUAAACAAAAUGAUUUAUUACUUAAUUAUUUUAUAAAUUGUGUAUAUAAAAAGAAUUGGUAUGUACGGUGAUUGUUGAACUAGCUACCAAAACAACUUAUUUAAUUUUAAAUGAUGUAAUUGAAGAGAAAUUAUUUAAGAUCUGGAUUUGAUCUUCUUGAAAUUUUGUAUGCUGGACAGCCUUGUUCAAACCUUUUUGUUUUGAUAUGCAUUACGCCAAGAAGCUGGACUAAAGUUUUUUUUUUUUUUUCAUUUUAAUGGCAUUAAGAUAAAAACAAAAAAUAUUUAAUAUAAAUAAAUUGAAUUGAAUUUCCAAUUAGUUUUAGAGAGAUGUAAUUAGUUGUUCAAAUAUUUGAUAAAAAUUCAAAUUUGUGGCCUAAUGUUGGAGUUAAAAAACAGACGAAAUUAGAAAUAACUAUACGAAAUUACAACUUUAUAACAGUACGUAGGUUUAGGAUUCUUCCACUUUAGCCAAUCUCAAGCAGGCCUAAAGGUGGGAAGAAGAAACACAUCAACUUCAGCCAACAAGCUCACGGAGGCUUGAAUGUGGGAAGAAGUCACAGGUCCCGAUGCCUUCCUCUCAUUCUCCCUACCACCGUUCUUGCUUUUCAUCUCUUUCAGCCACUUCUUCACUCUCUUCAUCGCAUUCCCUAUUUUCUCAUCUUUAUCCUCCCUCCUCACUAAUGGAUAGCUUCUCAAGUAUUUUUGCCUCAUCAUAUACCUCUCUUGACUGCAUCCGCUACUUAGUUUGAUAGGAUUUCGCACAUCUUUGCAACUUGAUGAAUACUUUAAACUCUCCAUGAUUUCGAUAUAUUAUUCCUCCACUCGUAAUUCAAGGUGUUGUAUUUAUAUGAAUAGGAAAUUAGUCCUAAACCUGUUAGAGGUCUAUUCGCUGCAAGCAUGCUGCAUUUUUAUUAGUAGGAAAUUAAUCCCAAUCCUGUUAGAGGUCUAUUCCCUGCAAGCAUGUUGCAUUUAUAUUAGUAGGAAAUUAAUCCUAAUCCUUUUAGAGGUCUAUUUCCUGCAAGCAAAAUCUACAGUAAGAUGAUACAAAGUUGUAAUUUCAUUUACUUGUGAUGCAACAAGUAAUAUUAAAUGCCAAAAUAUUAUUUAAUUGAAUAUAUUGAUUAUCCUAGUGAUUUAGCUUAUUUAAUGACUUUCUCAUAUAAAAGGUCGUAGUUGGGAUUUAGAGUUUUACAUUCAAAUUGUGGAACUUAAUCAAUUGGAUUAAAUAGGGUUUAUUGUAACUUGAACUGUGUCCCAUCCGCAUUACAAGAUUAUCUCAUUUUCUUCACAUGGAAGAACCUUUCAAUGAGAUAGGAUUUCACUCAUUGGAAAUUACAGACUUGUAUUACAAUUUAGUUAACACCCGCUUUUUCUUCGGAACAUUUUACCUUUCAAACUUCAAAGCUCGCACCAUCCUAAAAUUGAGAUUGGUUUAAGGCCCAAGCCAGCUUCUUCUAGAGCAAUACUGACGAAUUCUGGAACAUCCAGAUUGCUUAUUAACCAAGGUAUUUAAAUAGCGUUAUUUCCCUUAUACCACUUCAGAAUAAUCUAAGGUAGGUUCUUACCCUUCUCUUACCUAGAGGAGUAUUUUGGCUGCUAGGGGGCCGAUUGAAAGAGGAAUAGGAUGGCGCAUAGGUAUUGGAUCAGUUGUGAACAUUUGGAAUGACUCUUGGAUUCCCGGACCUGGAGAUGGUAGAAUUAAUUGUCACAAUAUUGAUAUCAAUUACACUACGGUGGACCAAUUGAUCACUUCGAGACACUGUACUUGGAAGGAAGACAUCGUCCGUGCCAUCACUGAUUGGGACCAAGCUGACUGUAUCUUGAAUAUCCCACUUACCAAGUCGAAGCAGGCAGAUACGAUGGUUGGAAGUAUGAGGGUAUGGGUGAUUACACAGUCAAGAAUGGUUAUAAAUUACCACUACUGGACAAAUUACGAAUACCAGAUGCCUAUCCUAGUAGCAUGCUCCAAAGUAAUAGCCCUAUACAGCAUUGUGGGCUUUACAGUUACCUGGUAAGGUAAAAAUUACAUUUUGGAAAAUUUACAAUGAUUACAUUCCUACAUAUGCCAAUCUAAACAGAGAAAAUAUGCAUGUUUCUACAAUUUGCCCUAUGUGCCAAGCUGGGUUGGAAUCAGUUGAUCACCUAUUGAGACUUUGGUCGGUCACCUGUCAAAUAAUAAAAGGGUUAAACCAUAUGCUUCCCCCUGUCUCAUCUUUCCCAGAAUACAGAUGCUGGUUGGAUGAAAAUUUUCGUGUGGCAAAUGAGAAGUCCAAGAAGUUAUUGGCAAUUACCCCAUGGGCGGUCUGAUUGGCAAGGAAUCGACUUGUUCAUUAUGGUGUUCGAAAGACAGUGAAUGAAUUAGUGGGGUUUAUUUUCGGUUAUCUACAUGAAAUUGAGGAAAUCAGUCCUGUCAGGGUUAUCACAGUACACUCAGCAACAGAUUUGGAGAUACCACCUGACCCAGGUUUUAUUAAAAUUAACUUUGACAGUUCUUAUAAUGCAAAAACACACUCAGCUAUCUCAGGAAUCUUAGCACAAAAUCAUUUGGGGCAGAUUAUGGAGGCAUGUACUUACCCCGUGGAUCAUGUGGCAUAUGCGUUUAUAGCUGAGGCUUGGGCAUGGGAACAAGCUGUCCGGUUUGCAAUUGAUAUGGGCUUUCGUAAGGUACAGAUGGAAGGCGACUCCUUGACCGUCAUUAAGCGAUUGAACUCCUACAUCAAGAACAAAUCCGUUCUGAGUCCAAUUGUUGGACACAUUAAAGAUUAUUUGAGUUUUUUUUAUAACAUUACUUUGUUGCAUAUUCGACGAAAUGCAAACUGUGCGGCGCAUUCCUUGGCAAAAGAGGGUCGACGGUUUCAAUCGGCAAGAUUCUGGAUCGAGGAGGCGACGGUGGAAAAGAUAGUAGAGAUGGACUGAACGCAAUGGGUAAAGAAUGCCUGAUUUGGGUAUUUUGGGUUUGGUCAAUUCGGAAACCUUCACCUUUCACUCCGAAUUUGGCUACCAAACUUUUUUCUCUCUUUGGAUGCGCAUUGUUGUUCUAUCUGUCAGCUGCUGUGAUGCAGUUUUGCGAGAGUUUACAAUUGGUCUCUUGGGUUUUCUGAUUCGAAUAGGAGUUCUUUUGUGUUUCUGUUUUGGUUUUUUUUGGUUUUGCUUUAGGGUUAGUUUUCUUGUUAGCUAGAUUUUCUUUAAUGCGGGUGUGGUCUUUUGUUGUUUCCCAGAUAGUUGUUAAUUUGACGUUUGGUGUUUCUCCCUUUACUCAAUGGAUGCCAACUUAUUAUUUCAAAAAAAAAACAAAAAAAAAAUCUCAUGUAACUGAUAAGGCAAUUAUUUAGAAAAUAAUAAUAAUGACUUUAAAAGAAAUUACUUAAAAUAUAUAAACCCAUUUAAUUUCUUAUAAAUUUAACAAUACUUUAUUUCCAAUAAUAAAUAUUCUCAAAGACUAUAUAAGAAUAUUUAUAAAAUUAAAGAAUAAACAAUUUUAUACUUAAUUAUAAAUAUAAAAAUAAGUUAAUUAUAACAUAAAUUAUUAUUUAUAUUUAUUUUUUUAAAAAGGAAGAAAAAGGAGUAAAAAACAAAAAAAAUGUUCCACAAUCAAAUGAUGACACAUGUCACCCAGACUUGUCCAAGGAUUGAGUGACUCACCGGCCUGGUAGGCCUAGCUCGACUUAGGCUAAGUUUGGACAGAUUUUUACACAUUGAGUUGACUUGACCUAGUUUGAAUUAAAUUUAAAUACUAAUAAUUUUUUUAAAAGUUUAAUUUAAUUAUAAAUAUAUAUUUAAAAUAUCGAGUAAAAAUAUUUUUAAUAUUUUAUUAAAAACAUACUUUUAAUCGGAUCAAGCCAACUCAAAAACGGGUAGGAGCUUGAACUAUUUUGGAAUCAGACCUUAGCUUAACCUAUGAAUACCUCUAAUGUCACCAAAUGACAUCUAAUAGAAAAAUUAAUGGAAUGACAAUGACUUGAUUGGAAUGAUAUUUAUAGUUAAGAACUCAAUUUGAAUUAUAUUUAGGGAUAGAUUUAAAAUUUGACCUAUAAUUUAAGGAUGGCUAAUGCAGUUAAUUAAACCCUAAACCCAACGUCAAUAAGGUCCAAUAGCGCAAUUCCAGCCUAGUGCUGGAUGUUUAUUAUAUGCAUUUGUGGACGUCCAUUGUUGAUUUAAAAGUUCAUAAAAGCCGGAGGUUUGAGUGUCAAACACAAACUCAAACUCAUGUCCAAUAUUGUUGUCUGAUUACAUGCGUGUGCGGACGUCCAUGGUUCCUUUAAAAGUUCAUAGUUCCGGGCUCAAUUUUAAGCCACAGAAAAUUUUCAUAAUAUAUUGCUUAAGAUUUUCGUUAAGGAUGAUUUAUGGCUAAUCAUUGUCGAAACCAUUCUUUUGAAAACGGGGAUCGACUUUGUUUGAAAGUGAAAAUUAAAACGAGAGUCGCCAUCAAUCUUUUAUUAGGUGUGAUCGGAUCACCUUUGUUUUAAUAAAUCAAUUUUAGUUUACUAAAACAGGGCCUUUGGUCUACGAAAUUUGAGAGAACGAGUUCGGGAGUCGGUUACGUGUGAGGAAGGAUUAGCACCCUCAACACGCCCAAAAAAUUGGUACUGAAUUGAUUAGUUAGUGUCUUAAUGUCGAAAAUUAAAAAUCGGGAAGGGACUUGAAAUAUGAUCUUUUGUAUUAAUACUGAUUUUAAAAUUCUUGAAUUAACUUAAAUCGAUUUGUUUAAAGAUUUUCUUAUCUCGAGAUAUCGGAGUAUCACAUCCCGUAAGUUAGGACACAAUACCAUGAAUUCCCGAGCACAAGGUCGUCUUUUAAUUUAAAUUGGAAAUCCGUGUAUUUCAAAACUCAAAUGGAUAUUUAGCUAUUUAGAACCAACGAGAGAACCGAAACCCCGUAAGUUAGGGCACAAUUCUUCGAUGUUCCAAAAUGCGAAACAUUGCCUUAUUUAUUGAAAUUAGUUAAAACAUGAGAAAAAAUAUUCCCAAAGUGAGAAAUUAAAAAUAGAUAAACGACGCAAAAAAAUGAUAUCAUUAAUGAAAAAUAUUAACAUGGAAUACUAGAAUAUUAGAAUAACAAUAAUAAUGAUAUUUACAAAAAAGGAAAAUAAAAACAAAUCAUGUACUAAUAAUAAAAUAGGAAAAAAUGAUAUAUUUGGUAAUAAUAAUAAUAAUAUGCACAUAAAAAUACAUAUAUAUGCAUAUAAUAAAAGUAUGUAAUAAUAAUAUCUACAAUAAAAGAAAACAUUAGGAAACGUACAUAAAAAAUACAUAAAAUUUUUUUUACAACAAUAAUAUAAAAUAAUGAUAUGUACAAAAAUAUAUAUAUGUACAUAAUAUAGUUAUAAAAAUAUAUAUUAAAUUCGAAAUAGGUAAAUAAUAAUAAAAAGGGUAAGAAUAUACCGAAGCCCCAAUAUUAUGGAUUACUGAAAUUAAUCUAUUUUCUUCUCGGGCUGUUGAAAUGGGCCUUUGUAGGUGAUCUUAACCAGAUCAGAUUGCCACCAAUAGAGUCAGGUUGACCCGAUCAUUUUAAAAUUUAAUAUUUUUUUAUUGUUUUUUUAUUUUUUUAAGACCAAUUUUUGUUUAGAACAAUUACAAAUAAAAUCUACAUAAAAUAUACAAAAUCCAAAUUACUUCAACCCAACACAAAUCAAUCUCAGCCCACUAACUUAAUAAUCCAACACAACCAACCCAACCCACUAACUUAACAUAUCAUCACCCAACCCACUAAUUAACCCAAACUAAAUUUAACCCAUCAAACCUUACAUAAACCAACCCAUUAACUAAAAUAUUUCUUUUUUAAUACUAAACCCCCCCUCCCAAAACAAACAAAUCUCCAGCAGCAAACAAAGAAAGAAAGAAAAAAUCCAAGCUUCAAGCCGCCGAACCCCUCUUUCUCCUUCCACCGUGCGCGCCACCAACAGCUAUCGUAUGCGCCGCGUGAAAUCAAGCUUUGGGUAGUUGAGGUUUGGGUUUUAGGGUGGCUUAUAAUCGAUUGGCUCGAGUAUUUAGAGUGGGUUUCGAUUUGGGAGCUUGGUUGUGGUGUUAAUGGUGGUUAGUCCUUGGUUGCUUGCCGGAUAUUGAAGUUUUUUCUUGCUUAGAUUGCUGAACGUUCCUUUUUUUUGUUGAAAAUUUUUUUUUGGAAUUUUUUUUGCUAGAAUUUUUUUUGCUCUUUUUUCUCCAAUGGGAGAGAAUCCUCUCUUUUUGGUGUGGUCUCUUGCUUUAUUUCUACCAUUUUGCUUCUUUUUUAUGCCAUUUACAGGCAGUGGGUGAAGAAGGAACAACCACCCAUGUUUUUGGCUUGAAAAUCUGGAAAGUAGGUGCCCCAAAUCACGUAACCUGUCUGAAGGACCAAAUCACAAAUGCAGCAAAACUUCUGGGGCUAAAUGUAAUUUUUAGAAAAUUUAGGGUUAAAAUGUAAUUUAAGGAAAGUUAGGGGUCUAAGUGAAAUUUAAAGAAAGUUUAAGGGUCAAAAUGCAAUUUUUUUAUUAAUUUUUUUUUGAAAUUUUGAAAAUUAAACACAAACUCUAGUCGGACAAAAAUUUAGUGCUUACAGCUGCCCCUCUUUACUCAUCAUUGUGAAACAAGAAUAGUGCAAAGACUUAAAAGCACUAAAUUUUGUUCAAUUGUCCAAUCUUUAUUCUUUACUCGGUAUGUGAUCCUGAGCUCAACUCAUUUCUCGCAAUAUGAAUUGACUAUUUAAAACUAGAUAUUAAAAAUAGAAAUUGAAAAUAGCUCAGCACGUGAGCCAAGGCUCAACUCACUUCUCGCAAUAUGAGUUGAUUUUUGAAAACAUAAUUUGCAAAAGGCUCAACUCAACUCUUGUAGAAAUUAAAAAGCUCAACUCACCUCUUGCAAUAUGAGUUGAAUUUAAAAAAAAACAGAAAUUGAAAAUAGCUCAGCACGUGAGCCAAGGCUCAACUCACUUCUCGCAAUAUGAGUUGAUUUUUGAAAACAGAUUUUGAAAAACAGAUUUUGAAAAUAUCUCGACAUGUGACCCGAGGCUCAACUCACAUCUCGCAAUGUGAGUUGAUUUUUUUGAAAAAUAUAAAUUGAAAAAAUACCUCAGUGUGUGAUCUGAAGCUCAACUCACCUCUCGCAAUAUGAGUUGAUUUUUUUGAAAGACAGAAAUUGAAAAUAGCUCAGCGCGUAAGCCAAGGCUCAACUCACCUCUUGCAAUAUGAGUCGAUUUUUUUUUGAAAGGUAGAAAUUGAAAAACGGAAAUUGAAAAUACCUCGGCGUGUAACCUAAGGCUCAACUCGCCUCUCGCAAUACGAGUUGAUUUUUUUGACAACAGAAAUUGAAAUUACCUCAGCGUGUCCUGAGGCUCAACUCACCUCUCGCAAUAUGAGUUGAUUUUUUUUGAAAGACAUACCUCAGCAUGUCUUGAGGCUCAACUCAUUUCUCGUAAUAUGAGUUGAUUUUUUUUUUUGAAAAAUAGAAAUUAAAAAUACCUCAGCAUGUCUUGAGGCUCAACUCAUUUCUCGCAAUAUGAGUUGAAUUUUGAAAACAAAAAUUGAAAUUACCUCAACGUGUAUUGAGGCUCAACUCAUUUCUCGCAAUAUGAGUUGAAUUUUGAAAAAAUAAAUUGAAAUUACCUCAACGUGUCUUGAGGCUCAACUCAUUUCUCGCAAUAUGAGUUGAAUUUUGAAAACGAAAGUAACAACAUCAAAAUACCAAAACCUGUCAUCUGGUGGAACUCAUGUGUCUUUUCCUUUAAUUUAGUACAGCUAUCAUCACAUCCUCUCGCUCUACUGGAGUAUCUGUAUAUGUCAUGCAUGACGUUAUCAUGAUAUGCACAUGUUUGUCUUGAAUGAUUUUAUGCCUACAUGAUUAUGCUAUGAGCAUUAGGCAUGUUUGUCAUAUGUCCUUCUUCGUCAUGAUUUUUGCGAUGACCUGUAUUCAUUACUUCGGCUCUUGACUAUCUCUUUAGGCCCUGUACCCGUCCUCAAGCUUCACGAACAAUCUGCGUUUCUCAGUUAUCGCUCUCUUGCCCCUGAUUGAACUUUGUCCUUGCUUUGAGGCUCUUGUACUUAUCAAGUUCUUAUCCAGGUAGUGCUUAACAUUUCUUUUGUUUAGAGUAUGUCAUUUCACUAUUUAUCAUGAAAAUAAACGACAUAAUGAGAUACAUGAAAAUGGUCAGGUAGGGACAAAAGGAUACCUCACAUUUAUUUAUUUCAAAUGUGGCAAACAAAGAAAAUUAACCAAUGAUAAUGAAAAAAUGUCAUAAAGAGAAAAGGGAUCGCAUUCAAUGGAUAUAGAUGCUCUAGAUAUUCAACACACGAGCUCUUCCACGUUUCUUAUCAAGAAUCUUUUUGAGCAUGGCUUCUGUAGAGGAUUUUGAGCUACUGAAAAAUGCUUCAAAUACUGUAGUCUCGCUGUUUAACCCACCGUUCAACUGCCUCGCUCUUUAAGCCCGGGUUUGCUUCAUUAGAAUGCCCUUUCAGGUUUUCAUCCUAAUCUUUUGUGUUAAUCAAGAUGCCCUUUUUAGGUUUUCACCUUGAUCUUUUUUUUCCUUUUUAGGCAUAAUAUUUCUUCAUAGCAUCUGAGUUCACUGGAUUCGGUAACUCCUUCCCAUCCAUCUCAGUGAGAAUCAAAGCUCCGCCCAAGAAUGCCUUCUUUACGACAUAUGGUCCUUCCCAAUUUGGUGCCCAUUUUCCUCUUAAGUCCUUCUGUAUUGGGAGAAUAUUUCUCAGUACAAGUUUUCCUUCGUGGAAUUCUCUUGGCCGUACUUUCUUGUCAUGGGCCGCGAUCAUUCUCUUCUGGUACAUCUUUCCGUGACAAAUUGCCUUUAAACGUUUUUCUUCGAUGAGGUUUAACUGGUCAUAUCGAGCUCGAACCCAUUCUGCUUUCUCUAGUUUCGACUCCAUUAAGACUCGUAAAGAGGGGAUUUCAACUUCGAUGGGUAGCACAGCCUUCAUUCCAUAGACCAGAGAGAAAGGAGUUGCUCCCGUAGAUGUCCGUACAGAUGUGCGAUAUGCAUACAAAGAAAAUGGUAGCUUCUCGUACCAGUCUUUAUAUGUCUCGGUCAUUUUCCCAAUAAUCUUCUUAAUAUUCUUGUUGGCCGCUUCAACAGCUCCGUUCAUUUUCGGACGAUAGAACGAUGAGUUAUGAUGUUUUAUUUGAAAUUGCUCACACACUUCCUUCAUCAUCUUGUUGUUCAGAUUCAAAACGUUAUCUGAAAUGAUUCUUUCAGGCAAACCAUAUCGACAAAUGAUUUCUUUUUUCAAAAAUCUGCAAACUGUAGUCUUUGUCUUAUUGGCAAACGAAGCAGCUUCUAUCCAUUUUGUGAAGUAAUCAAUAACCACAAAAAUGAACCGGUGUCCAUUAGAAGCUUUUGGGGAAAUUGGCCUUAUAACAUCCAUGCCUCACAUAGAAAAGGGCCAUGGAAAAGCCAUGACAUGAAGGGGCGAAAGGGCUACAUGAAUCUUAUCGCCAUAAAUUUGACAUUUGUGGCAUUUUCUUGCAAAACUAAUGCAGUCGCUUUCUAUCGUCAGCCAGUAGUAAGCAAGUCUCAUAAUCUUCCUGGCCAUAGUGAAGCCAUUGGCAUGUGUCCCACAAAUUCCCUCGUGGACAUUUUCAAGUAUUUUUCUGGCUUCAACAGCAUCUACGCAUCUCAAGAGUACCUGAUCUUUUCCUCUUUUGUACAGGAUAUCCCCAUCAAGAACGAAUCCAGCUGCCAUUCUUCUAAUUGUCCUUUUGUCGUUCUCAUUUGCUUGUUCGGGAUACCUUUGAUUCUUGAUAUAUUCUAAGACAUCAUGGAACCAUGGUCGUCCAUCUGGUUCUUUUUCAAUGCUAAAACAAUGUGCAGGGACUUCAUAUAUGCUCAUUUGAAGAGGCAUUAUUUCUGUUUCUCUGUUUGCUUUGAACAUUGAAGCCAAAGUGGCCAAGGCAUCAGCCAAUUGGUUUUCUUCUCGUGGGAGGUAAUUAAAAGUUAUUUCUUCGAAUUCUUUAAUCAACUCUGCCACUAGAUCACUGUAUUUAACCAGUUUCAAAUCUCUCACUUCCCAAUCUCCACGGAUUUGGUAAAUCACCAAGGCUGAGUCUCCGUAUACCUCUAAAGUUUUGACGUUUCGUUUAAUAGCUGCACGAAGUCCCAUGAUACAUGCCUCAUAUUUCGCUAUGUUAUUGGUACAGAAGAAAUUUAGCUUAGCAGUGAGUGGGUAAUGGUUCCCUUCUGGCGAUACUAAGACUGCUCCAAUCUCAUGCCCCAAUGCGUUCGAUGCACCAUCAAAGCUCAUCUUCCAUGACUUCUUUUUUGAUGACUCACCCUCUUUUUCUGUAAUGCACAUCAAAUCUUCAUCCGGGAAAUUAAAUCUCAAUAGCUUAUAUUCAUCCAUUGUUUGAGUUGCUAAGAAGUCAGCUAUUGCGCUCCCCUUUAUCGACUUCUGACUUACAUAGGCAAUGUCGUAUUCCGAUAGGAGGAUCUGCCAUCGUGCUAUUCUUCCUGAGAGUGCCGGUGAUUCCAUCAUGUAUUUUAUUGGGUUCAGCUUUGAGAUUAACCAUGUCGUAUGAUACAACAUAUAUUGUCUGAGUCUCCGAGCUACCCAAACCAGAGCACAAUAGUAUUUUUCAAUAGACGGAUACUUUACCUCAUAUUCAGUGAACUUUUUGUUGAGGUAGUAGAUCGCCUUUUCUUUCUUUCCUGACUCGUCGUGUUGCCCAGAACGCAGCCCAUUGAAUUUUCAAACACAGUCAAAUACAAUAUCAAUGGUCUUCCUAGAGUUGGCGGUACUAGCACUGGAGGACUAGACAAAUAUUGUUUUAUCUUAUCAAAGGCCACCUGGCAUUCCUCAUUCCAUUCUCCCGGGUUAUGUUUUCGAAGAAGCCGAAAGAUUGGGUCGCAUUGGUUGGUAAGUUGAGCGAUGAAUCGGGCGAUGUAGUUUAACCUCCCUAAAAAUCCUCUGACUUUCUUUUGCGUGCGCGGAGGUGGUAACUCUUAAAUGAAUUUUAUUUUAUCUGAAUCAACCUCGAUACCUCUUUCACUGACAAUGAAGCCUAGCAACUUUCCCGAGGUAGCCCCAAACAUACAUUUGGCUGGAUUAAGCUUUAGCUGAAACUUUCUCAGCCUUCCGAACAACUUCUUGAGGUUCACUACAUGCUCUUCUUCGCCUCGAGACUUGGCAAUCAUAUCGUCAACGUAGACCUCUAUUUCUUUAUGCAUCAUGUCAUGGAAUAGUGUCACCAUAGCCCUCUGAUAUGUUGCCCCAGCAUUCUUUAACCCAAAUUGCAUUACUUUGUAGCAGAACGUGCCCCACAUCGUUAUGAAGGUAGUUUUCUCCAUAUCUUCCGGGGCCAUUUUGAUCUGAUUGUACCCCGAGAAUUCAUCCAUGAAGGAAAAUAACGAAUGUUUUCCCGUGUUAUCCACCAAUGUAUCAAUGUGCGGUAAGGGAAAAUUAUCUUUAGGACUUGCUCGAUUCAAGUCACGAUAAUCCAUACACAUUCGUACUUUGCCGUCUUUCUUUGGUACCAGAACUAUGUUAGCCACCCAUUCUGGAUAUUUGGAGGCUUGUAGAAAGCCAGCAUCAUAUUGCUUCUUAACUUCUUCUCUUAUUUUUAACAACAUCUCAGGUCUCAUCCGUCUUAGCUUUUGUUGAAUGGGCUUGCAUUCUGGCUUUAAUGGGAGCUUAUGGACCGCUACAUCUUCAUCCAAUCCUGGAAUGUCCUGAUAUGACCAUGCGAAUACAUAUUUGUACUCGCGGAGCAAAGCAAUCAAAUUAUGCCUGGUGCCCCCUGAAAUAGAAGUCCCAAUCUUCACUUCUUGCUUCCUUUCUUCAGUUCCCAAAUUUAUUGUUUCAACAGAUUCUUGAUGAGGCAAAAUCUGUUUAUCCUCUUGUUCCACCAUUCUUAGCAAGUCAAGAGACGAGACAUAGUUUUCAGCAUUUUUUUCGGCUUCGAAUUCUCCUAAACAAACAACCUUCUCAAAAUCAAUUUCAGGACUCGUAAUGGGUUUGUUCAUACUGUUGAGAUCUAAGCACCUGAAAGUUGAAUGGAAAAGGAAACUAUAGAGGGGCAUCCAAGUAUUGGAAACAACAAACGAAAUGUUGUGGCAUGGCAUGAGGCAAAUGUAAGGAUUGGCUAUGAAAUGAGAAAAUGAUUAUGAAAUUAGUGAUAAUGUGAAAGAUUAUGACAAAAUGCAUCUUUAUUGAUAUUCAUUUGAAUGAUAAAGAGCGAAUGUAGGCUCUUACAAAAGAAUUCUAUUAUAUCUAAGGACAUAACAGAAUGUUAAUGUUUGAGCAUUACUCUAAAGACUUAUAAACUACAAGAAGAUCCUCGGUAGUUUAAUUGUUUAACCUGAAACCCAGGGGACAAUGAUGUAUCCUUGAGACGUCUUUACUUGCGUUAGCUCCUUUUUCAAUGACGUUUAUACUGAUAUUCUGAUAACCCUUUUCGAUUAUUAAUAUUGUGCCUUGUGCAUUAUCCCACCUCGGGUAUAUCAUUCCCGCAAACGUAAAUGUUCUUGACAAAAGAGGUAAUUCCAUAGGCUCUCAUUCUUGUUCUCGACCUAAGGUUCUCACGAUCCUUCUUUCCUGAUCUUUCUUCCACUGUCUUCUUCUUUGACACAUGUCCGGCUGGAACCCUAAACUGUAUCGGGCCUUAUGGUGCACUGAUUUUAGAGCCUUGACUAUUCCUUGCAGAUUUCUCCCUAAACUUCUUCUCGCUCGAGCUCCCAUUCCUACAGUCAACUUGACACCCAUUUUAGUAUUCCUCGAUAAUUUAGGUACGGGAAUUUUGUUUCCCUCACUGACGAAUGUGGCAUUGACAAAUUCAAGGGAUCGGAAGGAACAUUCCACUGCGUCCUUGCUCACUUCAAGGUAUGGCGCAUCAGCAGAGAUAGAUGGGACAAUGUCUUCUUCUCCCUCGACAGCGACCAAACAGCCAUCCAUGAUAAAUUUCACAUUUUAAUGGAGGGAUAAUGGGACCGCUUUAGCAGAAUGGAUCCAGGGUCUUCCCAAAAGGCAGUUAUAUGAGGGUGUAAUGUCCAUGAAUUGGAACUCGACAUCAUAUAUGUAGGGACCCACUUCCAGAGAGAUCUCAAUUUUUCCCAUGACUUCACGCCUUGUCCCGUCGAAUGCCCUUACCGUAGAAUGACAGGGCCUUAAAUGGGACAGAUCCAUCGGAAUUCUGGAAAGCGUGGCCAAAGGCAUAACGUUGAGUGUCGACCCAUUAUCGAUGAGCACGUUCAGUAUUAUGUAGCCCUUGCAGCGAGUCGUAAUAUGCAGUGCUUUCACUGAGCCUCUACCGUUGGGUGGUAUUUCAUCAUCACUAAAAGAAAUGAAAUUAUUCGCGUUUAGAUUAUUCACCCAUCUGUCAAGCUUCUCAACGGAUAUAUUAUUUGCCACAUAAGCUUGAUUCAACACCUUCAGCAAAGCAUUCCGGUGUGGCUCCGAAUUAAACAGUAGAGAUAAAACCGAGAUUCGUGCUGGUUGCUUAUUCAAUUGUUCCACCACAUUGUAUUCACUGUGUGUGAUAAAUUUUAAGAACUCUUGUGCUUCCUCCUCAUCCACAGGCUUUUUAGUUUCUUGCACCGAUGGAAUUUCUUGCUCGACUUCGGCCUCAUGCAUCACUGCUUUCCCUUUUUGCUUCCAGUCACUGUUCUUUUUUACCAGUUUGACCUCUUUCGAAUAACAUCUUCCACUACGAGUGAAAUGAUCUACCUCCCCAACACUUUCAGUCAUGGCUUUGGGUUUUUCAUCUUCAGGUGUGACGAUAUUGACGUCGUAUUUCCAUGGUACGGCUUUGUCGUCCUUGUACGGGAAAGGAAACGGUACUUCGAUUAUCAUUUUUGGUUUCACCGGCUCCUUCGUCGCGUCAUAAUAAAUUACCAACGGUAGAUCCGCGCUAUAAGGGAGACCUGAUGACUGGCUGUCAAAGGCGCAUAUUUCUCUUUCGUUGGCCUCUUCUCUCUUAUUAAAGAUCUUAAUCUCCUUAUUAUCCAUCCGGUCUUGAAGCAACCUUUUAAAUUCCUCACACGACUGAAUAUCGUAUCCUACAAUUCUAUGAAAAUUGCAAAAACCUUAACCUUCUUCUUCGAGAAUUCUAUCGGGGUGACAAAGCAAUCCUUUCUUAACCAGUACCUCUCAGAUUUUCUGCAGAGGCGUCCUUAUUUCCGAAACACAUCUUCUGACUUUCCAUUCGUCUUCUUUCCCCACUGUGUUCACAUUUCCUUCGAUAUGGUUAGGGAACGGGUUCCAGUUGCGUUACUGGCACUAUCAAAUCGUAGGAUACCUGCGUCAAUGAGCCCUUGAACUCUCCUCUUAAAGGCUAGGCAAUUCUCCAUGGAAUACCCCUGGUUCCCGGCGUGGUAUGCACAGCUAGCGUUUGAAUCGUACCACUUUGGGUAUGGAGGUUUAAGGGGUGCCAUGUAAUGGGAAGAAAUCAGUUGUUUCUCCAAAAGUUUUGGGUACAAUUCCCAAUAUGACACAGGGAUGUGAGUAAAUUGUGGUCUCUCAGGAUUAGGCCUUGCUGGUCUUGGUUCGUUUCUAGGCUGGCUUUGAGCAGAUACUGUGUUUUGUGGGAAUGUGGUGACGGGUCUUUGGUUGUUCGUGGCGUAUACGGGGUAGGAAGGAGGGGGUGCUUGGCAGUAAGGGGUUUGAUGGGGAUAAUAGAAAUUUGGAGGUGGAUAAUUUCGAGGUCGGGGUUGGUUUGGAUAUGGAUUAAGGGUAUAACGGGUUCCCGUUCCCACCAUGUGGGCUUCUGGUUCUUUCUUCUUCAUAGGCGCUGCCCUCUUUGAACAUUCUGAACCUUCCAUUCUACCGCUCUUGACGACAUUCUCUAUGAGCUCACCGGAUAUUACAAUAUCCAUAAAAUCCUUCAUGGCACUUCCCACUAGUUUGUCAUAAAAUGGCGCUUUUAAGGUGUUGAUAAAGAGAACGGUGAUCUCCAUUUUUGUUAGUGGGGGUUCCACUUGGGCCAAGACGUCCCUCCAUCUCUGCGCAUAUUGUCUAAAGGUCUCUAACGGCUUUUUCUCCAUCAUUUGCAAGGUCAUCCGGUCUGGCACCAUAUCCGAUACAUGCUUGUACUGGUCACAGAACGCUGAUGCCAAGUCCUUCCAAGAUCAGAACUUUUCCCUACUAAGCUGGUUAUACCACCGAAGAGCCAAUCCUGCUAGACUAUCUUGAAAACAAUGUACAAGUAGCUUAUCUUCGUUCACGUAACCGGUCAUUUUUCGGCAAAACAUGACAAGAUGUGCUUUUGGACAUCUUGUCCCAUCGUACUUUUCGAAAUCAGGCACCUUGAACUUCGGAGGCAGGAUUAGGUCAGGUACCAAACUGAGUUCUUUAGCACCUAGUACCGAGAAGGCUUCAGUACAUUCUAUUGCCUUGAGUCUUUCUUCCAAACUCCUAUACUUCUCUUGAGCCUCGUGAUCAUCUAUUUUCAACUUGGCUAUUUCCACUGGAUCAUCUAAAUCUGGAACUACAGGAUUGGCAGGGGUUGCUCCGAAAUUUGACAUAAAUGUUCCUUGCCCUAGAUGAGCAAAUGGCAUAGGUCGUUGUUCCAAGCCUGUGGAUUCCCCUUGAGUAUACCCUUUUUGUGCUACAUGGGCAUGUGGUGGAGUGAAUCUUAGGGGAUAGAGUGGAUUCUGGUCAUGAUUAAUUCUUGAUUGAGGUUCGAUAUUGUCGGGGUUCUGCAUGGGUCAUUUUUCUUUGACCAAAACUGACAUCAUCUCUAUCAUUCUAGCCAUUUGAUCCUUUUGUUCAAGUGAUUCCUCUCGAGAUCUUACUAUCAAAUCUCUCGUUUCUUGCUGUGACUUAGCCAGUUGUUCUUGUAAUUCUUUCUGGACUCUUUCCAUCCUUUCGAUUCUUUCAUUGAACUCAGCCUCCAUUGCUCUAGCUUGUCGACGCGUUUUAUACGAAUGGCGUGGUUCCAGAUUUGAAGUGUUGCAACUGCGAAUUAUAUGAUUCUAACCUUAGCGAAUGAUUAUGGGACAUGUACAUGCAAUGAAUGAAUGCAAAAAGAGGCGUUGAUUCCUAUUUUAAUUUCAUUAGAAGAACUUCACUAGAAGAAAAUUUUUUUUACAUAGAACGGAUGAUUACAUAUACGACUUCGCCCUAAUGCCCAAAGUCUUAACUUUCCUAAGGAGCCAAGCUAAGCUUCGGCCUCGGUCUGAUUCCGACUCGUACUUUAAGCUCAAUAUAUCAGCCUGAACUGCCAAGGUUUGCAAGUGAUCAGCUAUCUCCCGAACCUGAGCUAUAGCUUCGCCCAUGACAUAGUCUCUAUCUCUAACCUGGUUUUGAGAGUGGUGAAGCUGUUCUCUGUAAUGGUCAUUGUUUGUAUCAAGAAGUUCCACUCGACUUUUGCUAUCUCGCAGUGCGGUCUCGAGUUCUUCUAUUUUCCCUUUCAACUCUUCGAUCCUGCUCAAACUAGCCUUCAGUUUAAUUAUCGAAUUAUGGCUACGAUGUUGCUAAAGUAAUCUUUCCAAUUCAGCCACUCGAGCUAGUAACUUCUCCUUUUUUGUUUUGGGUUUCUAACAAACUCUUCUUCAGAGUGUCCUCUCAUACUCAGGCAUCUUGAAACCUUUUCUCCCAAUGGUCGGUUCUAGUCUUUUCCUCUUUAAUCUCUUGACGCCAUUGUUCCGAUGUUUUACCUAAUCCGGCAGUUUUUAUUGUUAUACGAAGCUUCUUGUAAUCGGUUUUUAGACUAUCUAAAUCUUCCUCGGCCUUGUUCUUUCCUUUCCUUAACUUCUCGGCCUCUAGCUUGUGGAUAUCGACGUCUAACCCCAACUUCAUUUUAUCUUCUUCUAGCUGCUCUAUCUUCUUCCCCAACUCCGAGUUUCUUUUCUCAAAAUCUUGCUUAAUGAUCUCUAACUCGGAUGGGAUGACCCGUAAAUGCUCCUCUAUCGGUUGAGUGUUCCCUUGAUUCUGCUUAAGGAUGUUGUCGUUGACUCUCCUAUCCCACCACCAUUCAUACUCAGGGGUCGUCAUCGGGCCUGCGGUGAAUCCUUUCAUUCUUCGAGUUUGGUUCCAUGCAUCUGAUAUCUCGCGAACCCUCUUCUUAUAAUUGUUGUCUUUAUAGGGGAACUCACAUUGUGCCAACCCUUAUGUCACCGGUAUAAACUGUCUUGAUCAAUACUACCUUAACACCAUCAGUGGAGCGUAUCCAACGGCUUCCCAUAUUCCAGCCAGAGGGACCCAGUCAAAAUCACCGCACCUAUAUAAGAUCUCAUCAGGAAUCAACCAUGGAGCCCCCCAUUCAACGUCUUCGGCCCGUAAAUUUUGGAGAAUAGUUAUCCACCUCUCUUCGGAGAUGUCGUCCCGCCUCGAUGUGGCCACUAAUUCUCUUAAUAGGAAAUAAUCCUUAAGAGAAUACCCGAUAGGAGACCUUCUCCACCUUCCAAAAAUGACUAUGGAACCAAGCUAAAAGAAGCUGUGCGCAACCAAUAAAUCUUCCUUCGCCCGCUCUCCGACAUGCAUUCAAGGAUCAAAAAGUUUCUACUAGGAUUGCCGGGACGGGUGUGGUACAUUUAUCAAGUCGAUCGAAUAAAUCUGAGACGGCUUCAUCUAUGUGUCCAAGUGCUUUAGGAAAGACGAUCAAACCGUAGAUGCUUAAGGCAAAAACAUCAACCUUUUUCUUUGAAUCUGGGUGUGCAAGGAUCAAGUCCCUCAAAUUCCUCCAAGGAUUAAAUUUAAUAUCCCCUUUUUCCUUGAUGCGGGUCGUAACCCAUUGUUCGCUCAUCCCUGUGAUAUUCAUCAAUUUCUUCAAAAAGGGAGGGACGUUGACAGGUCUUGAAUAAGCCCUAUCAGCCUGAAUCUUCGAGCAAUUAAGUAACGCCAUAUAUUCCUCCAUCGUAGGUACUAAAUCAACUCCUCCGAAAGUGAAGCAACUGUAAGCGGGGUUCCAAAAUUGCGCGAGGGCCCGAAACAAGUACUUGUCCACUUUUACAUCGAGCAAAUAGAGUAAAUCACCGUAGUUACAGUAAAAGAGUUGUUUGACUUCGCCAUUCCAACUAUUCCAUAUAUCCUUUAACUCUUGCAGGUCGUUCUGAGUCACACUGAUGCGAGUGAAAUCCUAUAACUCUGAUUCAUAUCCCUCGGUCAAACUAUCUCCUUUCUCCUGUUGUGUUCUCUUAGACCACACUCGAACGGCCGCAUUAUCCUCCACUCUAUCAAGAAAUUCUUUUUCCAUGCUAAACUUUUCUAAUUAGUAACCGAACGUAAAUCAACACCCUUUUAUGAUGAAAUGUCAUACGAAAAUAAUCAAAAUAAAACAAGUCAGUAUUAUAUACAAAGAAUAGAAUUCAAAGCAAAUAAGGAGUAAAUAAGCACCUAAUCAGGUAACCACUAGGGUUCGGUGUGGUUCUACCUAGGGUAGGCUCCUAUGGCUCAUUACAUGUAGUUUGGUUCUAAAGUAAAGGUACCCGAACCAGCAGAUUCCUUGAUCCUCACCCAUUAUAGGUUCAUACAGACCGAGGUUGAUUCAGGGGAAUACAUUUCCCUACGGCUAUACGGAGGUGAAAACCUCAUGAAGACGCAGGUACGGAUGUAUCCCGAAAGUGAUCCACUAUCAUAUACGGAGGUGAAGACCUCACGAAGGAGUAGUUUUUCACUUCCACUUAAGAGGGUGAAAUUGACCAAUGAUGCGAUAUGCAAAGAUCCCUCAAAGAAUUAAACCACUAAAAGCAAGCAUAUUAUGAAGAGAGUCGCGAAAAUAACAGACAACAUGCAAUGCAGUAAAUUUAAAACCGAUUUUCGAUUUUUGAAAAAAGAUAAAAAAUAAUCAAUUUAAGGCUCGACUCUCGAGGUCCCCAGCGGAGUCGCCAAGCUAUCAAAACCAUUCUUUUGAAAACGGGGAUCGACUUUAUUUGAAAGUGAAAAUUAAAACGGGAGUCGCCACCAAUCUUUUAUUAGGUGUGAUCGAAUCACUUUUGUUUUAAUAAAUCAAUUUUAGUUUACUAAAACAGGGCCUUUGGUCUACGAAACUUGAGAGAAUGAGUUCGGGAGUCGGUUACGUGUGAGGAAGGAUUAGCACCCUCGACACGCCCAAAAAAUUGGUACCGAAUUGAUUAGUUAGUGUCUUAAUGUCGAAAAUUAAAAAUCGGGAAGGGACUUGAAAUAUGAUCUUUUCUAUUAAUACUGAUUUUAAAAUUCUUGAAUUAACUUAAAUCGAUUUGUUUAAAGAUUUCCUUAUCUCGAGAUAUCGGAGUAUCACAUCCCGUAAGUUAGGACACAAUACCAUGAAUUCCCGAGCACAAGGUCGUCUUUUAAUUUAAAUUGGAAAUCCGUGUAUUUCAAAACUCAAAAGGAUAUUUAGCAAUUUAGAACCAACGAGAGAACCGAAACCUCGUAAGUUAGGGCACAAUUCUUCGAUGUUCCAAAAUGCGAAACAUUGCCUUAUUUAUUGAAAUUAAUUAAAACAUGAGAAAAAAUAUUCCUAAAGUGAGAAAUUAAAAAUAGAUAAACGACGCAAAAAAAUGAUAUCAUUAAUGAAAAAUAUUAACAUGGAAUACUAGAAUAUUAGAAUAAUAAUAAUGAUAUUUACAAAAAAGGAAAAUAAAAACAAAUCAUGUACUAAUAAUAAAAUAGGAAAAAAUGAUAUAUUUGGUAAUAAUAAUAAUAUGCACAUAAAAAUACAUAUAUAUGCAUAUAAUAAAAGUAUGUAAUAAUAAUAUCUACAAUAAAAGAAAAUAUUAGGAAACGUACAUAAAAAAUACAUAAAAUUAUUUUACAACAAUAAUAUAAAAUAAUGAUAUGUACAAAAAUAUAUAUAUAUGUACAUAAUAUAGUUAUAAAAAAUAUAUAUAUUAAAUUAGAAAUAGGUAAAUAAUAAUAAAAAGGGUAAGAAUAUACCGAAGCCCCAAUAUUAUGGAUUACUGAAAUUAAUCUCUUUUCUUCUCGGGCUGUUGAAAUGGGCCUUUGUGGGUGAUCUUAACCGGAUCAGAUUGCCGCCAAUAGAGUCAGGUUGACCCGACCAUUUUAAAAUUUAAUAUUUUUUUAUUGUUUUUUUAUUUUUUUAAGACCAAUUUUUGUUUAGAACAAUUACAAAUAAAAUCUACAUAAAAUAUACAAAAUCCAAAUUACUUCAACCCAACACAAAUCAAUCUCAGCCCACUAACUUAAUAAUCCAACACAACCAACCCAACCCAACCCACUAACUUAACAUAGCAUCACCCAACCCACUAAUUAACCCAAACUAAAUUUAACCCAUCAAACCUUACAUAAACCAACCCAUUAACUAAAAUAUUUCUUUUUUAAUACUAACCCCCCCAAAACAAACAAAUCGCCAGUAGCAAACAAAGAAAGAAAGAAAAAAAUCCAAGCUUCAAGUCGCCGAACCCCUCUUUCUCCUUCCACCGUGCGCGCCACCAACAGCUAUCGUAUGCGCCGCGUGAAAUCAAGCUAUGGGUAGUUGAGGUUUGGGUUUUGGGGUGGCUUAUAAUCGAUUGGCUCGAGUAUUUAGAGUGGGUUUCGGUUUGGGAGCUUGGUUGUGGUGUUAAUGGUGGUUAGUCCUUGGUUGCUUGGUUGCUUGCCGGAUAUUGAAAUUUUUUCUUGCUUAGAUUGCUGAAUGUUCCUUUUUUUGGUUUUUUUUGCUGAAAUUUUUUUUUGGAAUUUUUUUUGCUCUUUUUUCUCCAAUGGGAGAGAAUCCUCUCUUUUUGGUAUGGUCUCUUGCUUUAUUUCUACCAUUUUGCUUCUUUUUUAUGCCAUUUGCAGGUAGUGGGUGAAGAAAGAAUAACCACCCAUGUUUUUGGCCUAAAAAUUUGGGAAGUGGGUGUCUCACGUAACCUGUCUGAAGGACCAAAUCACAAAUGCAGCAAAACUUCUGAGGCUAAAUGAAAUUUUUAGAAAAUUUAGGGUUAAAAUGAAAUUUAAGGAAAGUUUAGGGGUCAAAAUGCAAUUUUUUUAUUAAUUUUUUUUUUGAAAAUUUGAAAAUUAAACACAAACUCUAGUCGGACAAAAAUUUAAUGCUUACAAUCAUCUUGUGUUAGUUAAGAUAUUUGUAGAGAUUUAGGCUGAAAUGUCUUUCAAGAACUAAGAGAAAAGGGGUGGGACAAUAUGUUAGAGAAAGCGACUCCCAAAUCCUAAAAACAAAAUCUUCUAACAAUCAUUUUCAAUCACCAAUCUUGACCUGCCCAGAAUGUGGGUAAAACAUAUUCCUCAGCUUAUCAUACUUCUCCAUAUCAAAAUUGUGAGCUCUAAUGAGCCGUUUUUGCUUUGUGGUGAAUCGGCUUUGGUAAAACCCUUCAAAAGAAGGUUCUUUGGAUGUCUUGAGGAAAAAUGUAUAGGCAGCCAUGAAAUACAUGGAUGUGAAGAAGAAACAUAUUGGUUCCAGACAGUUCCCAAAAGGUUAGCCUCAUGAACCUCGCGGUUUGAACCACCAAAUAGACUAGACCCACCCAUAGUUCUCGACGGACCAAUGAAUUGGCUUUUGAAUCAAUUUUAGCCUUUUGCGUCUCCAUUUCUAACAAAUGUUUAAUUCUCGGGUCAUUUGGAUUUGGUGUCUGUAAGGGAAUCAAACCUCCCACAGCUUUGGCUACCUACAAUCACAAAAUUCAAAAUAAUGAUAAUUGGAUUCAAUUCAAUUUCCCGGUACCUUUUUAUUAGGGCUCCAAAAUUAACAUGAAAAAUGAAAGAAUGCUACCUUUCAGAUUUCACUAUCUAAACAACCACCCUCCACAAGCCAAAAUGUUAGGGGGCCAAGUAAAAUAGUGGACUUAAUAACUUGUCAUUAAUUUAAUAUCAUUUUUCAUCAAAUAAAUAAUUUAUUUUAUUUUUUUAUACAAUACUUAAAAUUAAAUAAAAUUGAUAAACACAUUUUAUCGCAUUUGAAAAUAAAUCUUCUUAUAUUAACACCUAUAAAUUAAAACUCAACAUAGUAAACCUUAUGCAUAAUUUACUCUUUCACUAAUUAUUUUUAAUAAAUAAUGGUAUGGAUACAGGCAGUGGGUGAGAAACAUCUCUAUCCCAGGAACCCAGGGUCCACCAGAAGUGUUGAAAACUGAAAAUUGUGCUCUAUAUUGGGUAAAAAUCCGGUCCAGAAAUACAAAAGACAAAACACAUGCACACGCACACGCACACAAAACAGUAUCAGUUCUCGACAGCUGCUCCUCAAGCAAAAAAAUCUAUGAAAUUGAAAUUCGGAAACUAUCAUUUUCUCCCCCUCCCCCCCCCCCCGGGCAAUUGUAAUGGUAUAAUCUUUAAGCAAAAUCACAAAUAAAAUGGAAUAUAAAGAGAUAAUUAAUUGCGAAAAAGUUGUACAGCUACCUGUUCGGGUCGCAAAAAGACGAGGUUUCCUAAGACGAUGACGCCCCCUGACUCGUCAAGUAAUUUGGCGGACUCCAAUCCUAGUUUCGGAUCCGAAAAACAUUCUUCACAAAUCCGAAUGAAGUUUGAAUAGGGAAUCCAGUUUUUCCCGGUCUCUCUCAGCCUCGUUUUCAUCACCUCCAACAGCGCCACCCUUAGCAACUUCUCCGCUUCCUGAUCCGACAGUGCCGCCACCUCAUGCACCGUCGUUUUCUCCUCGAAAUGCGGGCUCAACCCCUCCAGUCGGAUCCGGUCUUUUGACGUGCCAAUUCCCCUUAACGUCUCCAUUAAAUUCUCUCUCAUCGGUAGCUUCCUCAUUGCCGGUGAAAGCAUAGCUCCUUCAUGAAGAAACCGACGGCACAUUCCAUUGCUGUUAACGUUAGCUUUAAAGUCUCCUUGAUCCGGCACCAUGUUGGUUACAUUUUGCAGAACUCGAUUGUGAGCCGUUGACGAAGAAGUGCGGCAUCUAGUAAGAGCUUGUGAAGACAUUUUCGAAAUAUUAAAAAGCUUCUCCACCAAGGUUUUCUUGAACAUGAUGAAAUUAAAAUAAAAUAAAAUAAAAUAAUAAAUAAACCUUUUUCUUUUUUCAGAGUGGAGAAGAUUUAAAACCUUUGCCCGUUUGGCACAAUGAAACGGAGAGUUGGCCAUUUUAUAGUGUCCAACAAUGGAAGAAUAUGAACAAAAAAGAUGAGAAGAAAAAUAGGUAAAUGAAGAUGGGAAAUAUCGAAGAGAGCGACUUAAUCACCCUACACGUGGAUGGCUAAGCUUGAACUUCCGAACGCCGUCGUAUCAUAUGAAAAAUUUAGCGUUGGCGCCUCUGACUUGCAUAAAGCCGGUAUAAAAUAUUGAUCUAUAUGGUUGUAGGUGAGGGACUCAUGGUAAAUAGAACAGGGUGGCUUACAUAGGAAAUUUUCUGUGUUUUUGACAGGGCAGCUAACAGCCAAACACAGAAGUGAAACUGAAGACUGUUAUGUUUUCACGCAAACGUGUUGCCACAUAUGAUUUAAAAAUAUAAUAGGAAACAGUUUUAAAUUAAUGAUUGACUGCUUCUUUUAAAUAAUUACUUCCAAUAUUGUUAAUUAAAGUCACUGUUGUACUCAUAAAGAGAUUUUUAGAUAAGGUUUUUUUAAUGGAAAAAUUAAACACUGAAAUGGUAUGUUAAUAUUGUUAUUUAUUAAAAUAGGAUGUUUGAAAUAAUUUUAAUGGGUGAGAGGAGAGAGAUGGACGACACUCAUGUUUUUUUAACACAAUAAAUGAAAUAUCAUUAGAAAAUAACGUAUUUUAUUUUAAAAGAUAAUUUUUUAAGGGUGAAGGGAGAGAGAUAAGCAACAUCAAUAUAAAAAAAAUAUCUUUUAUCAGUGGAGGGAGAGAGAUGGGCUACACUAGUAUUUUUUGGUGCAAAAAUACGAUCUAAAUGGUAGAGGGUAAAUUUUGUAUCGUUUUUGUUACAAGCCAAUUUUGACCCACUAUACCCAUUACAAUUAAACCUAACUACCCAUUCAGCCCAAUAUUUAAACCCCAUUUACAAUCAGACCCACCACUCAAACCUUAACCUAUCAAACCCACAACAACCCAAUUACUAAACCCCAAAUACCCAUCUAAACCGAGAGGCCCAAUCAUAAACCCAAAUACAUUACAACAAAACCCAAACCCACUACCCAAACCUACCCUCAGCCCAACACUAACCCAUACCCACUAAACUAACCCAACAGAAGCCCAAACCCCUUACAACCCAAUACCCAUUGAAACCCUAGCCACCUACCCCCAUCGACAAAGUCACCUCAGCGCCGCAACACCCAUGCCGUCUGCCACAUCCGCCACCUGCUCCACCUGCAAGACAAGAAAGACACGCAACAGCAACAAAAAGAAAGCAGACAGUGUGACAAAAGAGACUAUAAAGCCGAAUGAAAACGUUUGUAACAGGGUUCUUUUUUUUCGAAUAUUCAAGAAAAACCAAACAAUACAAACACAAAUCUAUAUUGAGAAGCAAUCUAACAACAGAAAGGUGAUUUCUUUGUUCCUUUUCCUCUUUAUUUCUAUUAUCCUUAAAUAGAUAAAUAAAAGAUAUCGAAUCUUACCUCGUUUGGGGCGAUCAGAGAGUAGAACCGAAAGGUUUUCUCCUGAUUUCAGUUGGCUUUGUUGAGGUUUUUGAACAUUUUAACUACAGAUCUAAGGUAAGGGGAACCAAAGGGUAAAAAAGGGCCGAUUUUGCGAUUCCGGCCGCCGUAUAUGGUGGUCGCCGGCAACGGACGGACGGUGGUCCGAUAGCCGGAAAUCAUCCAUGCCAGAGCACUAAACCCUUUCCCUUUCUUUUUUUUAAAAAACAAAGCUGAAAUGAAAUUUUAGAAAAAUUUUGACUUUUAUACUAUUUAUAGAACGGUGCCGUUUUGGCAUUAAACCCCAGGACAUAAAACGACGCCGUUUCGCCCUGGGUCAGACCGACCCGACCCAUACCCGCCUAGGAUCGCGUGUUUUUGUUCUUAGGGGAUAUUUGCGCAAUCGGUCCUUCCACAUUUUUG